AUCUAAGAACUAUGUGCAAUAUCUUCAUUGCACAUAACUCCACAGCGGAAGAUCAUGAUAAACAACAUCCCUUGAAACAUCCAUAAACGACUUCUCUUAGAUUCAACCUGCAAGGAUUACCUGAAAAAUAACAACAAUAAUGGGAUGAGAUAAUACUCUCAGUGAGUUCUCCUAUCAUAUGGGUCAACUCGGCUCUACAGGGUUUUCUAAUCAAUAUUCAACUCAUAUCCAACUCAAGUCAACAAGGGAACGAAGACUCGAGCGAUGGGGAAACUAUCUCGCAAUUGUAUGGAAACAUGCAUUUGAGUUCUCAUAACUCAACCACGAUCAUUAUUCAGAGCAUAAUAGUGUUCAUAGCAUUUAUAAAUCACACAAUACUUUAUAACAUGGAACAAUAAUAAUAGCCCUUUACGUUAUCUUUCUAACACAUCCGUCCAUGUCCAAAACGAAGUUAUAACACUCAAUUAAUUCAUUAAUCUAUCUUAAUCAAGAUUUAGAUUAACAUUUAUUCAUUGCAUAAGUAUUCAACAACAAAAUCAUUGGCCUGGUGGUAAGGCUGGUACCAUUCCAAGGAGGUCCUGGGUUCGACCCCCAAUUGAUAUUUUAUCUUCCAGUACCAAUUGACCAAUUAUUAAUAUUAUCAAAAAUGCUCUCUCUUGCACUUAUUAAUAUUGGUCUGUCUCUUUUAUUAAUAAUUAAUCUCUUCAGAGUUCAAUGGUUACUCUAUUGGUCCCAACAGGCAACACUUAGAGCACAUAGGAACUCUAAUUGUUACAAUCGACAAUAGAUAGAGUACAUAUGAACUCAAUUGGUCUUGACUAAUAACUAAUUGAGCAUUUAAGGAAAUAUGGGAUAUUACAUUCUCCCCCCCCCAAAUUGAAAUUCGCCCCCGAAUUUCCUUCACUCAACAUAUAAACUCUUUUUGUACCAACGUCUUAGACCAACACCUGAUUUCUCCUCGAUUUCAAACCUCUGACAUACUCAUUCUUCUAACCUCUCCUCCUUGGAAAACUUCUCUCUUGUUUCAACUCUCAAUACUUCAUGGUCUUAGCCCUAUCCUUACUGCGAUAUUGGAUUAACGUUUAACUUUGCUCCCACUUAAUUCAUCUGAUAUACCGCUCAACAUCAGUUGGUCACUUUCCUCCUGGAACCACAACUUCCCUUCCUUGCACUAAGUUACACAAAGCAUAAUUACGAAAUCUUAUCUUGACUUGGUUAAUCAAUACUCAUUAAUUCUUCAUAAGAAAACUUAUUGAUUCCUUGACCACACACGAUAUUGACUACUCUUUUCUUAUUAUUUCUGAAAAUUUUCACUUCUUCACAAUAGAAAGUUCAUCCAAUCAAUUGGUUCUUCUUUUUUCUUCAAAAAUUUAUCUGUUAACUCCAUUUAUACCAUCUCUAACCAUCUUUAAUUCAUCACAUCAACCCAACCAACAUGAGCAUCAUGUAAACAAGGAACAACACCUUAAUCCAUCACAACAUAACAACCAUUCAUAUGGGAACAUGAAAGAUCGCAAACAUAAUAAAACAACAAUAACUACAUGGCACCAAGGGGAGUAUAAACACAACAAGUUCAUCACAAAUUUUCACAAAUCCUAACCCCCAAACAUGGAUUAUUUUCCUCCAAAUGCUAAAUCUAUCUAAGAACUCACCUUGGACACAUGGAGAUGGUGAAGAUGGUGAGUAGAAAGUGGUGAUGAUGAUGAUGAAGAUGACAUGAUGAUGGUGGUGGUGGUUUCCUUCCUCUUCUUCUCUUCUUCCUCUUCCUCUUUUCGUCUUUUCCUCUUUCUUUCUUUUCUUUUCUGAUAUCUCUCUUUCCCUCUUACCUACUUCUUCUUAUCCUUUUCUUCUUCUUUCUAUUAUAACCACACAAAUAUAUAUAACAUAAUAUAUAUAUAUAUAUAUAUAUAUAUAUAAUAUUAAAUAUAUAUAUAUAUAUAUAUAUAAACUUUGUAAUUCAUCUAUUGAUAAUCUCAUAAACUUCACUUGAUCUGAUAAUGUAUGCUAUAAGCCCUUACUCCUACUGCUUCCCGUCUCUCGUACUACUCCAAUAAGAUAGCACCAUUAGCAUGAGAUUGUCUUACUCUCAUCCUUAUGAGUAACGACCUCUCUGAUUCCCAUAAUCUCGAUUGAUUUCCUUCUUCCAUCACCUUCCCUUUUGAUACUCCGGUUCCAACGGUGGAACACCUGGGGUUCCUAAACACCACUAGUUAGCUAAGAGUCUACAUAGAAGAUCAUGCAUAUCCUCCAGAGUGCCCACAAUCCAAAACAGUACUAGGAUAUCACCGACAUCCCUUAGUAGAAUAAAUUUCUUGUUGACACACAAAAUUUUAGAAUAAGAGCAACAAUCUUCAGAAGAUAGGUAUCCAGGAGUUACAUUACUACAACCAUAAACGUACAACAUCCAAACUCAUCAUGUGUUCGAUGCAGCUAAACCAAAUUAGUUUGACAAUCCCCGGUUCUGGUUACUAUAUUCCAUAUCAAAUCCUCUUAUAGGGUUUUGAUUCAUUCAAGAUUUCUCCCGACACAUGAUCUCGACCAAAACAACAUAACACCAUCAAGGAACUUUAAAUCAUCAACGAGACACCACUUAUAAGGAACUUAAGCUAUCUAGAGCGUAACUAUGAAUGUCCAUACACCUCAUAUAGUCACACACAAUAUUCCACACACAUAUAGAGAUAACAUUUCAUUUCGUAUCCAAAAUCAUCCAUCUGAAUCGUCCUGUCCGAUCUUCCAUGAUCUUAGCUCAUGCUCUUACUAAUAUACAAUCCGAGUUACAUGUUUAACUUCAGGAAUAUAUGAUUCUCGUUCCUCUUGGGAAGUAUAAUUCAUGAAUCCUUCCAAUAGGGUAGAGUAUCAUCGUAUACAUCAAUUACCACUCUCAGGGAGUCUACAUCUAAGGCUAUGAAACUGAAUGAAUUAAUCAAUGUCAUACCAUGACCAACCACUUCACACUUUACCAAUAUAUACAAUAUACCUAACUAAUCUCUUCCAGAUCACCACUUACUAGGUCUCUUCCAGCUCUUUUCCUUAUAGUUAUUCAUCAUCAUAAUAGUGGUACUUCCCAGACUUACUUAAACUGAGCAUGGUUCACCAGGUUGGUUUCCCCAAAUGGUUGACUUCCAUGAUAUCUCUACAGAUGAACAACUACGCACUACACCUUCAGAAAUCCCAAUUUUAAAACUACCAAUCUAACUUGUGGUGACUUGUAACUUCAUCCUCAAUUUGUACACCCACAACGGUACACUUAUGACAUUUAAGACACCCUUAGCUCCAACACGAUGUGAAUGUUUAUACUCCGUGAUCAACCAACCAAACACUCCUCAAGAAGAUAAAUAACAACCAGACUUCCAAUAAGCCACUAUUACUCUUGCAAUUCAAAUAAAAUUCACUUAAGAUGAACCUUCUCAUUGCCACACACUUAUGAUUGGAAUUUUUCUUCUAACCCAAUACCUACUACACACUUCAUCAUACUGGGGUUACUUGUCUAGAUGACUUGCUACGGACAAUCCUCAUUGUCUCCCAAUAAGCUCUUACAUCAUAACAUAUUUCAAAUCCUACACUUAGUCCCCAUGCUCCAGCUUGGCUUGUCUUUUCAUUGUCUCCGAUCAUCAACUAACUUUUAGAAUACAAGACUCACUACUCACAAAUUGUGUGUGUCCUUCGCAUCCAUCUCAAGACAAGGAAUCCAUUACACAUACUUGUGACCAUAAUGCUGCUAUCACAUACUUCUCUAAUACCAAGUAUAACUUCCUCCACUCCACUACAUACUCUAGAAAUCCUCGAUGCGAACAAUCAUCACUACAUGCCCAUAACUUCGUCUUAAUGAAUCUUAAUGGUCCCAUUGUACCUUUAUCUAAAAUGUACCCCAUUACAACAGUUGUAUUGCAACAUCCACACUACUUCCACACUCGGUGUUCACUUGUCUUCCUAUGGUAAUUCUCUCAGUUCCAAUUACAGAACCAUUCUACUAGAAUUCCUUAAAUCCAACUUACUUGCUAUUCUCCUCAACCAAAUAUCAUACAACGAAAACUCACUAGAGCUUCCAUUACUAUAUAAUGUGCGUUCUCUCUCUCCACACAAACUCUUAUAAUUGAUCCUUAGGUAACUCAACAUUCCGUAAUGGUCUCUUACUAACACUGAACCACUUACGAGCUACCAUGAAUCCGACAUCCCUUCUAAGUCUGAAUGUACUUGAUUUACCUUCUAACCUCCAUUUGGUCCAUACAUGUUUCACUUGAAAUAGGCAGCCAUGCCCUCGAGUCUCUCCUUAGACUUCACCACUACGUUAGGCUCCCAACAAAAUUGAACGUCCUUAACCACUUGCAAGGUACCAUUCCAAAUAUAUAUUCCAUUAAGUACUCUCGUUCUUCCAAAAUAUUUUAGUGUCCUUAGAAACUGAAGCACUGAUACACUGCCUCACUUCCAGACCUUAUGACAUAUGUGCAACAUAACCAUCCUUUCUCCUUUACCAUAUGAAAUUACCCACAAUACUCAUUCCAUAUCAGUGAGUGUAUCUUAUUUCACUAGAAAUUCACACCUUUCUCAAAGCUCUGACAAUUUAUCCAAUAGAGAUCCUCAACUUCUCAACUCCGUUAACACUGCAGAAUCGCUUGAACGAUACACUACUCUUCAAUUCCAUAAUACCCAAAUCACAACUCCUCUGAAACUUCAACUAGGCUAUCCAAUUCUCCUUACUUUCUAACUCUUGGCUUGAGCCUACUCUUAAAGCACAAUUUCCACCCACACUUCGGAGUCCUCGUGGUCGCUCAACCAUGAUCCUACCUACCAUGCACAUAACAUUAGGUUGAUCAGGCCCAAUACUACAUACAGUGAUAUUAAGAAUCAUGUUGGCUAAACAAACAUAUGAGGUAGGAAUAGAUUUACUUAGCGUGUUUCAAGGCUAGCUCGAGAAUCGACCUACUCUGAUACCAACUGUAACAACCCGUAUAAUAUAUAUCUAGAAUAAUAUCAUACAAGUGUUAAUAAUUGGUACUAAUCCAACAUACAUGCCUAAUGGCAUCAAUAUAUAUACAUGUCCAAACUAAAAACAUCAAUGGAACAUGUUAUACAAUAGUGACUAAACAAUAAAAAUCUAAGAACUAUGUGCAAUAUCUUCACUGCGCACAACUCCACAGCGGAGGAUCAUGAUAAACAACAUCCCUUGAAACAUCCAUAAACGACUUCUCUUAGAUUCAACCUGCAAGGAAGACCUGAAAAAUAACAACAAUAAUGGGAUGAUAUAAUAAUCUCAGUGAGUUCUCCUAUCCUAUGGGUCCACUCGGUUCUACAGGGUUUUCUAAUCAAUAUUCAACUCAUAUCCAACUCAAGUCAACAAGGGAACGAAGACUCGAGCGAUGGGGAAACUAUCUCGCAAUUGUAUGGCAACAUGGAUUUGAGUUCUCAUAACUCAACCACGAUCAUUAUUCAGAUCACGAAACAUCAAUUCCCGAACGAACUUAUGUCUAAGCCAGGGCCGGUUCAUGCAUUCUCGUAUGAUUCGACUUUCACGAUGGAUAUCCAGUUCCCCUAUGGGACUCAAACCCACUAUUAAGAACCAUCACUCAUAUGGGACUCAACCCACUUUGAGUCUCUUUACCCGUAUGGGCCACAUCCCACUUUGGUGUCCACCUCUCCCACAUGUCCGCCAUGGUUGGGGCUAAAACCCAAUUGAGCCUCGAAUCAUUGGUCCCACAUCCCAAUGCUUACACAUCUAAGCAUACCAAUAGAGAUGUGUACCAUCACAAAAAACACACAUUCUGAAUACAUGAUCGGUUCCACAAUCAUCGGUUCCACGAACCAUAACAAAAUCCAUCAAUCACAAGUGACUUCAUUCACCAUAAUACACAAAUAAUAACAUGGCAUGUUCCAUACAAUGCGUCUCAUUCUCAAUCAUGGCAACAAUUCAUCCACGACCUCCCCAUAAGCGUCGUACAAAUGAAUACCGUAUACUCAUUUCCAUAACCUAGAUUGUCUUUCUAAGUUAUUAAUCAAGUUAUUCUCCUUAGUUUCCUCACUCAUCUUUGUAAGAUUUUUAAUCAUGUUAUUUCACCUUCAAUAUAACAACAAUAUUUAACUUUCAUCAUGAUAUAGUUCAUAGCAUUUAUAAAUCACAUGAUAUUUAUAACAUGGAACAAUAAUAAUAUCCCUUUACGUUAUCUUUCUAACACAUCCGUCCAUGUCCAAAACGGAGUUAUAACACUCAAUUAAUUCAUUAAUCUAUCUUCAUCAAGAUUUAGAUUAACAUUUAUUCAUUGCAUAAGUACUCAACAACAAAAUCAUUUGCCUAGUGGUAAGGCUUGUACCAUUCCAAGGAGGUCCCGGGUUCGACCCCCAUUGGUGACAUAUUUUAAUUCAUCAAAUAAUUAAUUCAAGUCAAUAGAUUGAUCAAAUGAACCAAUCGAUUGAAUGGGAGGACCAAUCGAUUGGUUGGAACUCCGUACUCGUCUGUCAAAAUUUCCAACUUCUUCAAAAACAGAAAGUUUAAACAAUCGAUUGAUGCAAAGGACCAAUCGAUUGGUUCCUGAAAAUUUUCACUUCUUCACAACAGAAAGUUCAUUCUUCUUUUUUCUUCAAAAAAUCAUCUGUUAACUCCGUUUAUACCAUCUCUAACCAUCUUUAAUUCAUCCCAUCAACCCAACCAACAUGAGCAUCAUGUAAACAAGGAACAACACCUUAAUCCAUCACAACAUAACAUCCAUUCAUAUGGCAACAUGAAAGAUCGCAAACAACAUACAACAACAACUACAUGGCACCAAAGGGAGUAUAAACACAACAAGUUCAUCACAAUUUCUCAUAAAUCCUAACCCCCAAACAUGGAUUAUUUUCCCCCAAAUGCUAAAUCUAUCUAAGAACUCACCUUGGACACAUGGAGAUGGUGAGUAGAAAGAAAGUGGUGAUGAUGAUGAUGAAGAUGACAUGAUAAUGGUGGUGGUGGUGGUUUCCUUCCUCUUCUUCUCUUCUUCCUCUUUCUCUUUUCCUCUUUUCCUCUUUCUUUCUUUUCUUUUCUGAUAUCUCUCUUUCUCUCUUACCUACUUCUUCUUAUCCUUUUCUUCUUCUUUCUCUUAUAACCAUACAAAUAUAUAUAACAUAUAAUAUAUAUAUAUAUAUAUAUAUAUAUAUAUAUAUAUAUAUAUAUAUAUAUAUAUAUAUAUAUAUAUAUAUAUAUAUAUAUAUAUAUAUAUAUAUAUAUAUAUAUAUAUAUAUAUAUAUAUAUAUAUNNNNNNNNNNNNNNNNNNNNNNNNNNNNNNNNNNNACCAAUUGACCAAUUAUUAAUGUUACCAAAAAUGUCCUCUCUUGCACUUAUUAAUAUUGGUCUGUCUCUUUUAUUAAUAAUUAAUCUCUUCAGAGUUCAAUGCUUACUCUAUUGGUCCCAACAGGCAACACUUAGAGCACAUAGAAGCUCUAAUUGUUACAAUCGGUAAUAGAUAGAGUACAUAUGAACUCAAUUGGUCUUGACUGAUAACCCAUUGAGCAUUUAAGAAAAUAUGGGAUAUUACAUUCCCCCCCCCCCUUAAAUUGAAAUUCGCCCCCGAAUUUCCUUCACUCAACAAAUAAACUCUUCUUGUACCAACGUCUUAGACCAACACCUGACUUCUCCUCGAUUUCAAACCUCUAACAUACUCAUUCUUCUAACCUCUCCUCCUUGGCAAACUUCUCUAUUGUGUUAACUCUCAAUACUUCAUGGUCUUAGCCCUAUCCUUACUGCAAUAUUGGAUUAACGUUUAACUUUGCUCCCACUUAAUUCAUCUGAUAUAUCACUCAACAUCAGUUGGUCACUUUCCUCCCGGAACCACAACUUCCCUUCCUUGCACUAAGUUACAUAAAACAUAAUUACGACAUCUUAUCUUGACUUGGUUAAUCAAUACUCAUUAAUUCUUCAUAAGAAGACUUAUUGAUUCCUUGACCACACACGAUAUUGACUACUCUUUUCUGAUUAUUCCUUCAACAAGUGUGACAAACUUUGUAAUUCAUCUAUUGAUAAUCUCAUAAACUUCACUUGAUCUGAUAAUGUAUGCUACAAGCCGUUACUCCUACUUCUUCCCUUCUCUCGUACUACUCCAAUAAGAUAUCACCAUUAGCACAAGAUUGUCUUACUCUCAUCCUUAUGAGUAACGACCUCUCUGAUUCCCAUAAUCUCGAUUGAUUUCCUUCUUCCAUCACCUUCCAUUAUGAUACUCCGAUUCCAACGGUGGAACACCUGGGGUUCCUAAACACCACUUGUUAGCUAAGAGUCUACAUAGAAGAUCAUGCAUAUCCUCCAGAGUGCCCACCAUCCAAAACAGUACUAGGAUAUCACCGAAAUCCCUUAGUAGAAUAAAUUUCUUGUUGACACACAAAAGUUUAGAAUAAGAUCAACAAUCUUCAGAAGAUAGGUAUCCAGGAGUUACAUUACCACAACCAUAAACAUACAACAUCCAAAUUCAUCAUGUGUUCAAUGCAGCUAAACCAAAUUAGUUUGACAAUCCCCGAUUCUGGUUACUAUAUUCCAUAUCAAAUCCUCUUAUAGGGUUUUGAUUCAUUCUAGAUUUCUCCCAACACAUGAUCUCGACCAAAACAACAUAACACCAUCAAGGAACUUUAAAUCAUCAACGAGGCACCACUUCUAAGGAACUUAAGCAAUCUAGAGCAUAACUAUGAGUGUCCAUACACCUCAUAGAGUCACACAUAAUAUUUCACACACAUCUAGAGAUAACAUUUCACUUCGUAUCCAAAAUCAUCCAUCUCAAUUGUCCUGUCCCGUCUUCCAUGAUCUUAGCUCAUGCUCUUACUAAUAUACAGUCUGAGUUACAUGUUUAACUUCAGGAAUAUCUGAUUCCUGUUCCUCUUGGGAAGUAUAAUUCAUGAAUCCUUCCAAUAGGGUAGAGUAUCAUCAUAUACAUCAAUUACCACUCUCAAGGAGUCUACAUCUAAGGCUAUGAAUCUGAAUAAAUUAAUCAAUGUCAUACCAUGACUAACCACUUCACACUUUACCAAUAUAUACAAUAUACCUAACUAAUCUCUUCCAGAUCACCACUUAGUAGGUCUCUUCCAGCUCUGUUCCUUAUAGUUAUUCAUCAUCAUAAUAGUGGUACUUCCCAGACCUACCUAAAUUGAGCAUGGUUCACCAGGUUGGUUUCCCCAAAUGGUUGACUUCCAUGAUUUCUCUACAGAUGAGCAACUACACACUACACCUUCAGAAAUCCCAAUUUUAAAACUACCAAUCUGACUUGUGGUGACUUGUAACUCCAUCCUUAAUUUGUACACCCACAACAGUACACUUAUGACAUUUAAGACACCCUUAGCUCCAACACGGUGUGAAUGUUUAUACUCCGUGAUCAACCAACCAAACACUCCUCAAGAAGAUAAAUAACAACCAGACUUCCAAUAAGCCACUAUUACUCUUGCAAUUCAAAUAAAAUGCACUUAAGAUGAACCUUCUCAUUGCCACACACUUAUGAUUGGAAUUUUUCUUCUAACCCAAUACCUACUACACACUUAAUCAUACUGGGGUUACUUGUCUAGAUGACUUGCUACGGACAAUCCUCAUUGUCUCCCAAUAAGCUCUUACAUCAUAACAUAUUUCAAAUCCUACACUUAGUCCCCAUGCUCCAGCUUGGCUUGUCUUACCAAUAAGCUCUUACAUCAUAACAUAUUUCAAAUCCUACACUUAGUCCCCAUGCUCCAGCUUGGCUUGUCUUUCAUUGUCCAUCAUCAACUCAACUUCUUAGAAUACAAGACUCACUACUCAACAAAAUGUGUGUUACUUCGCAUCUAUCUCAAGACAAGGAAUCCAUUACACAUACUUGUGACCAUAAUGAUGCUAUCACAUACUUCUCUUAAUACCAAGGUAUAACUUCCUCCACUCCACUACAUACUCUAGAAAUCCUCGAUGCGAACAAUCAUCAACUACAUGCCUAUAACUUCGUCUUAAUGAAUCUUAACGGUACCAUUGUACCUUUAUCUAAAAUGUACCCCAUUACAACAAUUGUAUCGCAACAUCCACACUACUUCCAUACUCGGUGUUCACUUGUCUUCCUAUGGUAAUUCUCUCAGUUCCAAUUAUAGAACCAUUCUACUAGAAUUCCUUAAAUCCAACUUACUUGCUAUUCUCCUCAACCAAAUCUUCUACAACCAAAACUCACUGGAGCUUCCAUUACUAUAUAAUAUGCGUUCUCUCUCUCCACACAAACUCCUAUAAUUGAUCCUUAGGUAACUCAACAUUCCGUAAUGGUCUCUUACUAACACUGAACCACUUACGAGCUAUCCUGAAUCCAACAUCCCUGCUAUAUCUGAAUGUACUUGAUUUAUCUUCUAAUCACCAUUUGGUCCAUACAUGUUUCACUUGGAAUAGGCAGCCAUGUCCUCGAGUCUCUCCUUAGACUUCACCACUACCUUAGGCUUCCAACAAAACUGAACGUCCUUAUCCCUCAAGUCCUUAACCACUUGCAAGGUACCAUUCCAAAUAUAUAUUGUAUUAAGUACUCUCGUUCUUCCAAAAUAUUUUAGUAGCCUUAAAAACUGAAACACUGAUACACUACCUCACUUCCAGACCUUAUGACAUAUGUGCAACAUAACCAUCCUUUCUCCUUUACCAUAUGGAAUUACCCACAAUACUCAUUCCAUAUCAGUGAGUGUAUCUUAUUCCACUAGCAAUUCACACCUUUCUCAAAGCUCUGACAAUUUAUCCAAUAAAGAUCCUCAACUUCUCAACUUUGUUAACACUGCAGAAUCGCUUGAAUGAUACACUACUCUUCAAUUCCAUAAUACCCAAAUCACAACUCCUCUGAAACUUCAACUGGGCUAUCCAAUUCUCCUUACUUUCUAACUCUUGGCUUGAGCCUACUCUCAAAGCACAAAUUCCACCCACACUUCGGAGUCCUCGUGGUCACUCAACCAUGAUCCUACCUACCAUGCACAUAACAUUAGGUUGAUCAGGCCCAAUACUACAUACAAUGAUAUUAAGAAUCAUGUUGGCUAAACACACAUAUGAGGUAGGAAUAGAUUUACUUAUGAUGUUUCAAGGCUAGGUCGAGAAUCGACCUGCUCUAAUACCAACUGUAACAACCCGUAUAAUAUAUAUCUAGAAUAAUAUCAUACAAGUGUCAAUAAUUGGUACUGAUCCAACAUACGUGCCUAAUGGAAUCAAUAUAUAUACAUGUCCAAACUAAAAACAUCAAUGGAACAUGUUAUACAAUAGUGCCUAAAUAAUAAAAACCUAAGAACUAUGUGCAAUAUCUUCAUUGCACACAACUCCACAGCGGAAGAUCAUGAUAAACAGCAUCUCUUGAAACAUUUAUAAACGACUUCUCUUAGAUUCAACCUACAAGGAUUACCUGAAAAAUAACAACAAUAAUGGGAUGAGAUAAUAAUCUCAGUGAGUUCUCCUAUCCUAUGGAUCCACUCGGCUCUACAGGGUUUUCUAAUCAAUAUUCAACUCAUAUCCAACUUAAGUUAGCAAGGGAACGAAGACUCGAGCGAUGGGGAAACUAUCUCGCAAUUGUAUGGCAACAUGCAUUUGAGUUCUCAUAACUCAACCACGAUCAUUAUUCAAAUCACGAAACAUCAAUUCCCGAACGGGCUUACGUCUAAGCAAGGCCUGGUUCAUGCAUGCUUGUAUGAUUCGAUUUUCACGGUGGAUAUCUGGUUCCCCUAUGGGACUCAAACCCACUAUUAAGAACCAUCACUCGUAUGGGACUCAAGCCACUUUGAGUCUCUUUCACCGUAUGGGCCACAUCCCACUUUGUGUCCACCUCUCCCACAUGUCCGCCAUGGUUGGGGCUAAAACCCAAUUGAGGCUCGAAUCAUUGGUCCCAUAUCCCAAUGCUUACACGUCUAAGCAUACCAAUAGAGAUGUGUACCAUCACAAAAAACACACAUUCUGAAUACAUGAUCGGCUCCACAAUCACCGGUUCAACGAACCAUAACAAAAUCCAUCAAUCAGAGGUGACGUCAUUCACCACAAUACACAAAUAAUAACAUGGCAUGUUCCAUACAAUGCAUCUCAUUCUCAAUCAUGGCAAUAAUUCGUCCACGACCUCCACAUAAGCAUCGUACGAAUGAAUAUCGUAUACUCAUUUCCAUAACCUAGAUUGUCUUUCUAAGUAAUUAAUCAAGUUAUUCUCCUUAGUUUCCUCACCCAUCUUUGUAAGGUUUUUAAUCAUGUUAUUUCACCUUCAACAUAACAACAAUAUUUAACUUUCAUCAUAAUAUAGUUCAUAGCAUUUAUAAAUCACAUAAUAUUUUAUAACAUGGAACAAUAAUAAUAGCCCUUUACGUUAUCUUUAUAACACAUCCGUCCAUGUCCAAAACAGAGUUAUAACACUCAAUUAAUUCAUUAACCUAUCUUAAUCAAGAUUUAGAUUAAUAUUUAUUCAUUGCAUAAGUAUUUAACAACCAAAUCAUUGGCCUAGUGGUAAGGCUUGUACCAUUCCAAGGAGGUCCCGGGUUUGACCCUCUUUGGUGACAUAUUUUAAUUCAUCAAAUAAUUAAUUCAUGUCAAUAGAUUGAUCAAAUGAACCAAUCGAUUGAAUGGCAGGACCAAUCGAUUGGUUGGAACUCCGUACUCACAAUGGUUUGUCAAAAUUUCCAACUUCUUCAAAAAUAGAAAGUUUAAACAAUCGAUUGAUGCAAAGGACCAAUCGAUUGGUUCUUGAAAAAUUUCACUUCUUCACAACAGAAAGUUCAUCCAAUCGAUUGUUUCUUCUUUUUUCUUCAAAAAUUUAUCUGUUAACUCCAUUUAUACCAUAUUUAAUUCAUCCCAUCAGCCCAACCAACAUGAGCAUCAUGUAAACAAGGAACAACACCUUAAUCCAUCACAACAUAACAUCUAUUCAUAUGGCAACAUGAAAGAUCAUAAACAACAUACAACAACAACAACUACAUGGCACCAAGGGGAGUAUAAACAGAAUAAGUUCAUCACAAAUUCUCACAUAUCCUAACCCCCAAACAUGGAUUAUUUUCCCCCAAAUGCUAAAUCUAUCUAAGAACUCACCUUGGACACAUGGAGAUGGUGAGUAGAAAGUGGUGAUGAUGAUGAUGAAGAUGACAUGAUGGUGGUGGUGGUUUCCUUCCUCUUCUUCUCUUCUUCCUCUUCCUCUUUUCCUCUUUUCCUCUUGCUUUCUUUUCUUUUCUGAUAUCUCUCUUUCUCUCUUACCUAGUUCUUGUUACAAGGAGCUGUUAAAUUUUCUUCCAAUGUCGAUUAAAUCAUCUAAUAUCCUUUCCUUAGUGUCCUUUUCAUAUUGCUCUCUCUCUCUCUCUCUCUCUCUCUCUCUCUCUCUCUCCCUCUCUCUCAUAUAUAUAUAGCCAAAUGGAAUGAUAUUUGCACACUUCAAAAUCUGCCCAAAAUUAGCAAUAUGGAUGGCACAAGUGCAUGGGCAUGUGCAGGCCCAUGGUGCAAUGCAAUAAGGUCCAAAAUGAUUCCAAUUAAGGUAUGAAUGGAAGCUUGAUUGGCAAGGCAAAGUGAACUGAAGUUUUGAAGUUUGAUUCUUUCCAAUUAUGCAGCCCUGUUAAAGCCAUGCGUAGACCUAGCAAACCUCAUCCAAAAUGCAUGAACUUGGGUUCUUUGAAAAUCUUGGAUCAAGGGGAACAAGUUUGAUGUUCAACACUUUUUCAUUUGGAUCUUGGUACAUGGAUAAUUUUGAUGUGGAAGUUUGGAAAUUUCAACAUGUUGAAAAUUUUUCUAAGUGUCAAGCCAUAUAUCUCAAUAUUCCACCUUGCUUAACUUUUUAUGUGAGCUUCAAAUGAGAAACAUGUCUUCAUCAAAGUUGUAUCUCUUUCAAAGACCUUCAAAAUGGUCAUAAAUUUCAUGUCAUUUGGAUUUAGAAUGAUAGAGUUAUGCAUUUUUGAAGUUUGGAAAAAUCACUUGUUCAAUGGUAUAGGUCAAAAAUGACCUAUAAUGUAACCUUAUAUCACAUGCUCAUAAAAGUAAUUUGGAUUUAGAAUGAUAGAGUUAUGCAUUUUUGAAGUUUGGAAAAAUCACUUGUUCAAUGGUAUAGGUCAAAAAUGACCUAUAAUGUAACCUUAUAUCACAUGCUCAUAAAAGUUGAAUUAGCUCUCACUCCAAACAUCAAAGUUGAAGUAGACAUCUUUAAUUUGUUUGUGCAACAUGGAAAUCUUUCAUAUCAUAAAAAAUGAGCAAGUUAUGGCCUUGGGAAGUUAACUUUCAAAUUAGGGUUUAGACAAAAUGACCUAUAAUGUUUCAACAUAGAAAAUGAUUUUCCAAGAAAAACUAGCUCUAGGUCUCAACAUGAAAGUUGUUUGGAAUGUCAUUUAGAGUAAAUUUUAUCUUGGAAUCAUUUUAAUAUGGUGAAACUUGUAAGAUAUAGGGUCUAGGGAGACCUAGUUUUGAUUAGAUGAAUUCAUCUGGCCAACCACCAUCAACCAACUUGCUAACCUUCAAUUCUUUUGACUUUCUUGGAUCAUGGUAGAUCAUAUAUGCAUAAGAUGAUGAAUUUUGAAGUGUCCCUUGAGAAAUUUGAUCAAUUGGCGAGAUAGAUUGUUGGAGAAGUUACUCAAGAUACCCAGUCAAACUAGGGUUUCCAAGGCAAAUCACUUCCAAACUCUUGAAGAAAACUUGAUCAGUAUGACAUGUAGAGGUCAAUGGAACUCAUAUAUGAUGCUCAUAACCAUUCUUAGAUCAAUUCAUGGUUGUGCUCUUUGUCAUGGGGGUCUCAAACCCUAGAUAUGAACUUGAUAGAUCAAUGGAGAUCAUGCCCUACCUACAAAGGGGUUAGGCAAAUGCAAAGACAUAUUUUUGGUAUUUUGGUUAGUAAAAUGAUAAAAUACAAGUAUGAUACAAUCACAAAGUGGUUGGUGAUCUCUCCCAAAACAAACCCAAUGAAAGAGGGGUAAGGAGGAUGCCAAGGUAUGAUCCCAAUGCUAAUGCUUAUGAUGAAAUUGCAUGAGGGAUCUAUCCCAGUUUUAACCCCAGAAUGUCGUGCCCCUAUUUAAGGACAUUCUAACUGAGGAGGCGAAGGUUAAAAUCUUCAUGUCGACUCAGUAGAAUGGGCUUAAAUAACAACAUAAAGAAACAAAUUUUUGUCCCUAAGAGACCUCAUGAUGCAUAUGAUAUGAAUGUAAAAGUAAAUUCUUUGUGGGGAAAUAUUGCCACAAAAGAAAAGAAAUCAGAGACCAAAAGUCCGCAGGAGUAUAAUGCAUUCCGUAAGGAACACUCACUGGGGAGACAGAGACUCUGGGGGAUAAAGGAGUUUUGUGUAGGCCAGGCUACGACUUAAAACUACUGGGGGACUAGAGGAAUUCCAUACAAAAUGGAAAGACUCAGCCGGGGAAACAACAACAUCUGUAGGGGAUACGAGUAAGUCAAGAUAAAAUUGAAAUGCUUGAAUCAUACAGGGGAAACAAUUUCACUAAGGAAACACGCACUCAACUCAACUGGGGAAGAAAUAAACUUCAACAUAAGAGGAGCAGAAAUCUAUUAUCUACUACCUGUUACUGGGUGAGGAGAUAAUAAAGAUCUGACAGAGAGGACAUCCGUCAUCGAUUAGGAUGAACGCAUCAAGGAUGACUCGCUGAGAAAAGCCAUGAGGGAGUAUUCAUUACCGGUUACUGGGUAAGAAUAACCUUGAUGGGGAAAACGCAGAAAAUAGGAUUUACAACUACCAGUUACUAGGCAAAAGACCAAAGGUGAGAGUAUCCGUCAUCGGUUAGGAUGAACAUAUCAAGGAUAGACUCAACAGGGAAGAAAUCCGUCAUCGAUUAAGAUGAACAUAUCAAGGAUAGACUUGCUUAGGACUGUCAAGGAGGAUACCCGUCAUCGGAUAGGAUGAACAUAUCAAGGAUAAACCAACUGAACAAAAAGUAUGAAUUACAUCUAUCGAAUGCUGGAUAGAAGACCAUCAAAGAGAAAAUUCGUCACCGGUUAGGAUGAACAUAUCAAGGAUAGACUCUGUGAGGGGAGGAAAUAGGAAUUACAUCUAUCAGUCACUGGAUAGAAUACCAUCAAAGAGAAAAUUCAUCACCAGUUAGGAUGAACAUAUCAAGGAUAGACUCUAUGGGAAAAAGUAGGGUUUACAACUACUGGUUACUGGGUAGAAUACCACAAGGAGAAGGAAAUUUGUCAUCGGUUAGGAUGAACAUAUCAAGGAUUAACUCUCUGGGGAACACAAUAGGGAUUGCAACUACCUUUUUACUGGGUAGAACACCAAGGAUGAGAAUAUCUGUCAUCGGUUAGGAUGAACAUAUCAAGGAUAGACUCAGGCAGGGGAAAGAAAGAUAUUUGUCAUCGGUUAGGAUGAGCAUAUCAAGGAUAUACUUCCUGGGGAAUCAGAAACAAAUGAAUCCACCGGGGACUCCACUACUGGGAAAACUGGGAUACUUUUGUCGGGUAUUGGGCAAGAAGUAACAAACUGCAAACUAAGAAGAAUAUUACCAGUUACUGGGUAAUAAGCUCUUAGGAGACUCAAAUCAUAUAUCUAGGUAAGAGCUAGAAAGAAACAGUCAAUCAAGACUCAGCCCAUUGAGGAUAUAACUCAAGGGGAGUGAUUCCAUCCACAUAAACAACUGGAAAGGAAACUGAAGUAAUAACCAUCCACGAGGAAACAACUCAGUGGGGAAGAGCAGAAAGGUUAAAGUCUUUCUGCUUAAGGGGCUGACACUCUACAAUUGAGGGAGGACAAACAUCAAACUUGUAUGGGGAUAAAGUACCGCCAUACAGAGAAUGAGAAUCUAAAAUCGACAAAUCAGUCAAAUAUGAUGGUGCCAAUAUGAAAAUUAUGAAAUUAUAUGAUUGUAUAUCUAUAUGUAUAUAUGAUGAUUAUAAAACAAUCACGAAGGAUACAAAGGUGUCGCAAAGAAUUUGAAUCAUCGGUACAAUCCUCGGUCAAUCCACAAAAAGAGGGAGACAACUGCUGGAGAACAGAGAAAUCAACAAACCAAAGGCUCAAAUCUAGCCGAUGGAGGAGAUCUGCUAAGGAAAGGAGAAGUUAUCGAGUCUGCAGGGAAUUUUAGGUCAACACAAUAUCAAAUGGGAGACAACCGUACAGAAGAUAAACACAAAACAGUUGCUCAGAAACCAGGAGGGAACUCUGACUGGGAACGAGUCGGAUGGCAACUGGUGGGGAAACCAAUACGAUCUACUGGGGAAAACAUAUUACUUUACUGAAGAUCAACCCUGCUGAAGAAAUGCGAUCUCCGUUGGGGAACACAAAAACACUGUCGGGAAAUAACACGCCGCAAGGUACUGAAUCAACCAACUUAGCUUGGGAAAAGAAUCGGAACUCUGCUAGGGAACAAACACUCCGCAGGGGACCCAGAUCAACACAAACAACUAGGGAUACCCGAAGGGUUAAUUGCUUGGGGAACCUCUGAUGCUUAGCACUUAAGGACUUGUUGCUCUUUGAAGUGCUGUUGAUACUUCUUUUUAAUUGCUUUGAAAAUUUCUUGUUUUUAUAUGUUAUAAGAAAAAAGAUUUUGAUUAAAAAAUUUAAAUUUCCAAAAUGAUCAUAAUAAAAUUUAAACUAUUGGCUGAAGUAAAUAAGAGUAGAAACAAUUGGACAAAAGCUCAACUUUAUUUAAUGGGAUGGUAGCCUGUAAAUGAUAAGACUCCAUAGAUUUUUACAAAGUUGAAAAUGGUAAUUUACAUGGAAAAGGGUUACAUCGAAUAUAAAUGAUCCUUAAUCCUUCUACCAACCCUUGAUAUCCAUUGUGCUCUUGACCGUUACUGGGAUGAUGAAUCGAUGUCAACCCUUGUGCUCAAAGUUCUCCAAAAUUUGAAGAUCAGCAGAAUGUAGUUACUUGCCAUAAUCCCUAAUUUAUGCAUAAGUUGCCUCAAGUUGGGGUACUCAACUUAUCAAGAUUUUUUUUUCUAUUUUAUGUCUCUAAUUUUUUCCUGGAUCGCCCUUUCGGGUUUUCAAUCCACCGAGACGCUCUUUUUUGCCUAAGCCGCCCUUUCGGGUUUUCAACUUAGCGAGUUAUUCUUUUCUUUUUAGGCGAAAUAUUUCUUGACUGCAUCUACGUUCACAGGACGAGUGAACUCUUCACCAUCCAUAGUUGUAAGAAUCAAAGCAUCGCCUGAAAAGGCUCUCUUAACAACAUAUGGGCCUUCAUAAUUAGGAGUCCAUUUUCCCCUAGAAUCUGGUUUAUCACAGGACGAGUGAACUCUUCACCAUCCAUAGUUGUAAGAAUCAAAGCAUCGCCUGAAAAGGCUCUCUUAACAACAUAUGGGCCUUCAUAAUUAGGAGUCCAUUUUCCCCUAGAAUCUGGUUUGAAUGACAAGAUCUUCUUGAGCACAAGGUCACCUUCUCUGAACACCCGAGGUCUGACCUUCUUAUCAAAAGAUUUCUUCAUUCUCUGCUGAUAUAACUGACCAUGACACAUGACAUACAAUCUCUUAUCUUCAAUUAAAUUCAACUGAUCAAACCUAGUCUGACACCAUUCAGCCUCAGUCAACUUGGCUUCCAUGAGCACACGCAAUGAAGGAAUCUCAACCUCUACUGCUUCCAUACCAUAUACAAGAGAGAAAGGGGUUCCCCCUGUUGAAGUGCAGACGGAUGUACGAUACCCAUGCAAAGUAAAUGGGAGCAUUUCAUGCCAAUCCUUAUACGUGACAACCAUCUUCUGAAUAAUCUUCUUAAUGUUCUUAUUUGCAGCUUCAACAACCCCAUUCAUCUUAGGUCUGUAGGGAGAAGAAUUAUGAUGUGCAAUCUUGAAAUCUUUGCAAAGGGCUUCCAUCAUAUUGUUAUUCAAGUUUGAUCCAUUAUCAGUAAUGAUCUUGUUUGGCACACCAUAACGACAUAUGAUCCGAUUCUUGAUAAACCUUACAACAACUUGCUUGGUUACAUUUGCAUACGAUGUCGCUUCAACCCAUUUUGUGAAGUAGUCAGUUGCCACCAAAAUGAAACGAUGUCCAAUCGAAGCUUUGGGCUCAAUCAUCCCAAUCAUAUCAAUUCCCCACAUGGAGAAGGGCCAUGGGGAAGAAAUAACAUUCAAUAGUGUCGGAGGAACAUGCAUCUUAUCAGCAUAUAUUUGACACUUGUGGCAUUUCUUCACAAACUUGCAACAGUCAGAUUCCAUUGUCAGCCAGUAGUAACCUGCUCGCAACAUCUUCUUUGCCAUUACAUGUCCGUUGGAAUGAGUACCAAAGGAACCUUCAUGCACUUCAGUCAUCAACAAGUCUGCUUCGUGUUUAUCCACGCAUCUGAGCAAAACCAUGUCGAAGUUUCUCUUGUACAAUAUAUCACCAUUCAAGUAGAAAUUACCAACUAAUCCUCUCAAAGUCUUCUUAUCUUUCAAUGAUGCCCCAGAUGGGUAAAUCUGACUUUGGAGGAAACACUUGAUGUCGUAAUACCACGGCUUCUCAUCUUUGGUUUCUUCAACAACGAACACAUGAGAUGGCCUAUCAAGAUGCAUCACAGACAAGUUGGGAACUUCAUUCCAAUAUUUCACCAUAAUCAUCGACGCCAAUGUUGCAAGAGCAUCUGCCAUCCGGUUUUCAUCUCGAGGGAUAUGAUGAAACUCAACCUUUGUAAAGAAAGUUGAAAUCCUCCUUGCAUAAUCUCUAUAUGUUAUUAAACCGAGUUGAUUUGUCUCCCAUUCACCUUUGAUCUGAUUCACAACCAAAGUUAAGUCUCCAAGGACAUCCAAAUACUUGAUUAUGAGAUUCAUGGCCUCUUCGAGCCCCAUAAUGCAAGCUUUAUAUUCUGCCAUAUUGUUUGUACACUUGAAAGUCAACCUAGCUGUAAAUGGUAGAUGCACGCCUUGAGGAGUAAUGAUCACUGCCCCAAUGCCAUUUCCAUAUUAAUUAACAGCUCCAUCAAAUACCAUGCCCCAACGGGAACCAGGCUCUGGCCCUUCUUCAAGCAAUGGUUCAUCACAAUCUUUCAUUUUCAAGUACAAAAUCUCUUCAUCAGGAAAAUCACAUUGCACUGACUGGUAAUCUUCAAUUGGUUGGUGAGCCAAAUGGUCAGCCAAGAUACUACCUUUGAUUGCUUUCUGAGAUCAGUAUUCAAUAUCAUACUCUGAUAGCAACAUCUGCCAACGGGUAAUCCUCCCAGUUAAAGCAGACUUCUCAAAUAUAUACUUGAUCGGAUCCAUUUUGGAUAUCAAUCAAGUGGUAUGAUUCAACAUAUAUUGACGUAGACGCUUAGCGGCCCAAGCCAAUGCGCAACAAGUCUUCUCGAGCAUAGAAUAUCGAGUCUCACAGUCGGUGAACUUCUUACUGAGGUAGUAAAUUGAAAUUUCUUUCUUUCCAGACUUAUCUUGCUGACCAAGAACACAACCCAUACUAUCUUCAAGCACAUUCAAAUACAUGAUCAACGGGCUUCCUUCAACAGGUGGAGACAAAUUCGGAGGUUCAAGCAAAUAUUCCUUGAUACUGUCAAAAGCUUUCUGGCAGUCUUCGGUCCAAUCACAAGACUGAUCUUUCCUAAGAAGCUUGAAUAUAGGCGCACAUGUGGCAUUCAUGUGGGAAAUGAAUCUGGAGAUAUAAUUCAAGUGGCCGAGAAAACCUCUGACUUGCUUCUCAGUUUUGGGCGCAGGCAUCUCUUGUAUUGCUUUGACCUUGGCAGGAUCAACUUCAAUACCUUUCUCGCUGACAAUAAAUCCCAACAACUUACUAGAACGAACACCAAAAGUAAACUUAUUGGGAUUCAAACGGAGUUUAUACUUUCUCAAACGGUGGAAUAGCUUCAACAAAUGCUCAACAUGUUCCUUUUCAUCAAUCGAUUUAGCAAUCAUGUCAUCGACAUAAACCUCAAUCUCUUUAUGCAUCAUAUCAUGAAAAAGAGUAGUCAUUGCUCUUUGGUAAGUUGCACCAGCAUUCUUCAAACCGAAAGGCAUCACUCUAUAACAGAAUGUUCCCCAGGGUGUAAUGAAUGUGGUUUUCUCCAUAUCUUCGGGUGCCAUCUUGAUCUGAUUAUAUCCGGAAAAUCCAUCCAUAAACAAAAAGACUUUGAAUUUAUCAGUAUUGUCUACCAACAUAUCAAUGUGUGGCAAAGGGAAAUCAUCUUUCGGACUGGCUUUAUUCAAAUCUUUAUAGUCGACACACAUGCAGACUUUUCCACCUUUCUUCGGCACAGGCACAAUAUUGGCCACCCAUUGCGGAUACUCAGCGGUCACAAGGAAACCGACGUCAAUCUGCUUCUGCACUUCCUCUUUGAUCUUCACAGCCAUGUCAGGAUGCAUUCUUUUCAACUUCUGCUUGACUGGCGGGCAUUCUGGCUUCAACGGAAAUCUAUGCUCCACAAUCUCAGAAUCCAAACCAGGCAUGUCUUGAUAGGACCAAGCAAACACAUUUGAAUACUCCCGAAGAAGAUUAAUUAACCCCUUCUUGACAUCUGGACACAGUCGAGACCCAAUCUUGACUUCCUUCACAUCAUCCUCGGAACCUAAGUUGACUAGCUCAAUCUGCUCUUCGAACGGCUGAAAGGUCUUUUCAUCUUGCUCAAGAAGACGAGAUAAUUCAUCACUCACUUCUACAUCACUUUCCUCCUCGGCCUCAAACACAGUGAAUUCAAAAUUUGUAGAAGGAGAAUGAUCAUUGUAUUCAAUGGGGUUAGGAACCAAACUGCAUAGUGAUUUGAUAUUUUGAUUUUAGAGAAGUGGAUUUGUGACCAAAUAUUAUGCAGAUGGACAAUUAUAUUGUUUAUUUAUGUUUUUUUGUGAUUACCAUUUUCAGAAUAAAGCAAAAAGUAAAAAUAAGACAUCAUAAAUGUGGAUGAAUAGAAUUAAUUUUAUUAAUGAUCAAUUUGAAAACACCCAACAAUGUUCAAUUCUCCCUUAGGCAUAGGAGAAGGACUUUAAAAACACAUAAAAUCAAUUACUUAGAUCGAUGCAAAAUAACAGGAAUAUCAACAGCAGUCCAAUUGUUGCAAGCCUUUCCAUGUGUCACUAAAUUGGUGUAGUUUUCCUCUUCGUCAUCUUCUAGCACAACAACUAAGUGUUGUUUAUUGCCAUGAAUGAACCCUCCGCUACGGAAGCUAAGUUGCAUAUCUUCAGACCUUGCAGUUGAUGAACCUCGCUGGAAACCCAGACCGGUUCUGCCUUUGUUGUCGGAGACCUCUACCAUGCACCCCCACUGAUCAACAUCGCCUUCUUCCACAAUCUUCUUAGCAUCUUUCAAUGAGGACAUAUGUUCCCCAACUCUCUUUUCAACAACAAUAGAUAAGGCUUGGAAUGGAGUUCCAACAUCAUCCUCAACUUCAACGUAAGAGAAAGACGACAGGUGGCUAACCAACAACGCCUUUUCCCCGCCAACAAUCACAAGCUUUCCAUUCUUUACAAAUUUGAGCUUCUGGUGUAAUGUGGAAGUAACAGCUCCUGCCUCAUGAAUCGAUGGCCUUCCCAACAAGCAACUGUAGGCCGGGUGGAUAUCCAUUACUUGAAAAGUAAUUUGAAAUUCACUCAGACCUAUCUUAAUCAGAAGGUCUACUUCACCCAUAAUUGUUUUGCGUGAACCGUCAAAAGUUUUGACGAUUACACCAUUAUACCUCAUAGGCGCUCUUUGAUAUGAUAACUUUGAGAGAGUUAACUUCGGCAACACAUUCAAUGACGACCCGGUGUCAACAAGCACAUUUGACAAAGCAUAUUCUUUGCAAUUCAUGGAGAUGUGCAAAGCCAAAUUAUGAUUUAUGCCCUCCUCAGGGAGUUCUUCAUCACAAAAGCUAAGAUUAUUGCAAGAAGUGAUGUUAGCCAUGAUAUGAUCGAAUUGAUCCACUAUAACAUCAUGUUCUACAAAAGCUUGUCCCAGAACUCUUUGUAGUGCUUCUCUGUGUGCUUCAGAAUUCAUGAGCAAAGACAACACUGAGAUUUUUGAGGGGGUUUGGAGAAGCUGCUCCACCACAUUAAACUCACUCCUUUUGAUUAACCGAAGUACCUCAUCAUCAUCGUUAGCCUUCAAAUCGCAGGAUUCACCAGACUUACCCUUUGAAGUACCAACGGGAUCUACAACAGGCACUUCCACCUUCUUUCCAACAAUUGAUUCUUCUUUAUCCUUUGGGAACACAGGCCCAAACACUCGACCAUUGCGGGUCACCUUGGUAACAUCAGCAAUGCUCACCACAGAGCUAGUCGUAGGCAACGAGACCUCUUGACCACCUUUUAUCAUUGUAGCAUUAUACUGAUACGACACAACUUUAUCAGAUGAAUACGGGACUGGUCCCGCUAACCGUAUAACCAAUGGCGAUACUGAUCUAUUGCUGACAUUGUUACUGUUGCUGCUGUGGUACUAGAUUACCAAUCUCUCUGGCUGCUUGAAAAUGGGCACCAUGACAUUUACAUCAUCAUCUACAUGACGAGAUUGAACAAUUUGAAUCAUGCCUUCAUCCAUCAAUCACUGGAUGUUGAUCAAUCACCAUUUAUAGUAAGUUUUCAUUACUGAUCCGACGCAAAACAGAGACAUUUGAUACACUGUGCAAGCAUUUAAGGUACAAUUCGAGUAGUUUUACAUCUGUUAUUUUAUUUACGCAUUUUUAAUCUUUGUUAUGUUUUACUUUGUUUAUCUUGAUUUUAUGCGUGGGAUAACUGUGUUUUUGUCUGGCAGAUCCAGGUAGAAGAACUGGAGAACUCAGAACACGACAGUGCAAGAGUCCGGCACGCAAAAGAGCAGAAAACCCCGGUACAGGAGGCCUGAUACGGCCACCCGUGUCACCUGACACGGGCCAUGUUAGGGCAAGGGAAGCAUAAGAAGGAAAACAGUAGCCAGACACGGCCACCUGUGUCAGUUGACACGGGCCGUGUCAGGCAGAAACCCCCUCGUGUUAGGCUUGCCAUGGGCGUGUCAGGAGAAAUAGUAGGCUGACACGGCCACCCGUGUCAGCUGACAUGGGCCGUGUCAGCUGACACGGGCCGUGUCAGCCCAAGCCCAAUAUUUCCAAUUUUCUCGGGGUUUUCAUUCUUCGGGCUUUAUGGAGACAUCUUUGGACCUGUCCAACUGCUGCUGGGAACUUUCACUAUAAAAAGAGGUCUUCUGCUAAAGGAAAAAUCAUCUUGGAAUACAGCAAACCACAGUAUUGUGAAGCAAUCAAGUAUUACAGAGAUCAAGGAAUUUGGAGAGCUGAAGAGAUUUAUGAGCGGGAGCGAUUGAAGAUCAAAGUCAUCCAAUUAUUUGUAAUGUGUAAUUUUUAUCUUGAAUUUGUUUUAAACAAUAUGAGUAGCUAAACCCCCCAAUGCUAGGGGGUGUCCCUGAUUUAGAAUUGUAAUGAAUUUGAGUUUACAUUUGCAUUUAUAAUAUUAUUGUAAUGUGUAAUUUUUAUCUUGAAUUUGUUUUAAACAAUAUGAGUAGCUAAACCCCCCAAUGCUAGGGGGUGUCCCUGAUUUAGAAUUGUAAUGAAUUUGAGUUUACAUUUGCAUUUAUAAUAUUUAAUUUAUGGUAACCUUUUGAUGUGUUUAUUGCUUUCUCUUUUGGACCAAUUGAGAUUGAUCUAUGGUUAUCACUUAGGCUGGACCGCGAGUGAUAAGGUUUUCAUCAGGUUACUCUGCAGUAGGUAUCACCUAGGACUAGGGAUACCCUAUAUGAACCAGAGCAUUCUUGAUAUUAUACAACUUAACUUCACCCUAAUUGGCUAUGGACAUAAGAAUUAGGGUAGAUUGAUUAAAGGUUUUCUCAUCAAGGACUUGGGAGAAAAUACCCUUGAGAACUGGUAGUAAUUGAUAUUUGUUGAUGCAAUAGUAACUCAGAGUUAUUACAGGGAUAAAUCAUACACCUUCCCUGACAUUGUUCCUUUUUCUCUAUAAACUGGUAGUAAUUGAUAUUUGUUGAUGCAAUAGUAACUCAGAGUUAUUACAGGGAUAAAUCAUACACCUUCCCUGACAUUGUUCCUUUUUCUCUAUAAACCCUUAUUUUCAUAUUUCUUUAUUAUUUUAUUUUUUCACUCAAAAAUAUAGAGUUUAAUUUUAUUUCAAUUAAAAUUUUGUUGCUCUGCAAUAAAAUUAUUUUUCUGUCAUUUAUAUUAUACUAACCAGUGUAUGCGAGGAAAACCCUCAGCUGAAAUUCUUUUUGACGCAGAGAUCGAGAGAAUCCUUCACAGAAGACGCAGAGAACAAAUAGUGGAUUCUACAGAAGAAAGUACCUCGGAUCAACCAGAAGUCAAGGAACCAAUGUCUGAAGUUCCUCCAAUUCCACCUCCUCCACCACCGGAAAGACUCCUAGGUGACUACGGAGGUGCAAACGCACCGGGUGGUCGACUGACCAUUGUUAACCAACCGGUGAAUGUGACAAAUUUUCAACUGCAUCCUAGCACGAUCAAUCAAUUGGAAAGAAAACCUUUCACCGGAAAGGUGUAAUGAGACGCCAACAAACACCUAGCAAAUUUCUGACCAUGAGCACCACCUGAAAAUUGAUGGUCACACUGAUGAAGCAAAAAAAUUAAGAAUGUUCCCGUUCACUUUAGCUGAAGACGCGGAAGAAUGGUUCUAUUCUCUCCCUGCCGAUAGUAUCACUUCCUGGGAGGAGAUGGAAACUGCAUUCUUAAAUGAGUAUUUCCCAGCAUCAGUAUUCCUGAGAAAAAGGUAUGAAAUUCUGAAUUUCGAACAGAAGGAUGGUGAAUCAUUGGGAAACACUUACAAAAGAUUCAAAAUGAUCUUAGUCGCGUGUCCCACUCAUAAUAUGGAUCAGACAGAACAAAUGCAGAUGUUCGUUAAUGGACUGAAAAUAAAGACAAAAAAACAGUUGAUUGAUACAGCAGCCAGUGGCUCAACAAAUUUCUCAAUAGCCAUUGGUAUCAAGAGGAUUAUUGAAGCAAUAGCUGCUAAUGAGCAUAUAAAGCUAUAUGACAGGUGUACCAGUCAGCCAGACGGGGUAAUUGAUCUUAAAUUAGAGACAAAUAAAAUCCAUCUGGAAUACACUGUUGCUGCCGAAGUAGACAAAAAGUUGAAAGCUAUGAAUAUAGGUACUCAACAGAUAGCACAGGUUCAGCCAGCUCAGGCGAGUACUUGUGAAAUCUGCAAUGGACCUCAUCACACGGUCUAUUGCUUUGCGACUCCCCAACAAAUUAAAGAGAUCAAAUUCUUAAAGAAGAAUAAUCCCUACUCUAACACUUACAAACCAGGUUGGAAGAAUCAUCCAAACUUCUCCUGGAAAGAUCAGAGAGGGAAUGUUCCGUAACAAGGUACAGGGCAAUAUCAGACUCAGUAUCAGCAACAGCAACAACAACAAUAGGCACCUAAAAAGGCUGAAUGGGAGAUUGCCAUUGAAAAGUUAGCAUCCCACAGUAUACAGUUUCAAGAAGAAACAAGGUCUAAUCAGAAAAACACCACAACCUCCAUCAAAAAUCUUGAUGUUCAGAUGGGACAGAUAGCACAACAGUUAGCAUCAAACUCUCAAGCCCCUGGAACCCUACCUAGUGGUACGGUGACAAAUCCGCGGGAACAUAACACUGUUAACGCUAUCACAACCCGAAGUGGAAAGUCAACCGAGGUAAAUGAUAUAGAAAAAGAUGGAUUAAUAGAGGUGGAUUUAGAAAUCAAGGAAACAAAAGUCCAAGAUGAAGAAGCAAUACCACCUCCUGUCCAGGGUAAGGAAAAGGUUCCUAAACCAUAAUCAAACUUCCUUACCCUCCACGACAGAAGAAGAAAAUCAACAUGAGAAGAAUUUCGAGAAGUUUCUAGAGAUGUUCAAGAAACUCGGAAAUCAAUAUCCCUUUUUCUGAAGCAUUGGAACAAAUGCCAAUAUAUGCCAAGUUCAUGAAAGAUAUUUCAAGAAGCGUUCCACUGAUACUGAACCGAUCAUCCUGACUGAACAUGCAGUGUCGUUCUCCAAGCAUGAAAAUCCCAAUGAAAAGAAAGACAGGGAUCGUUACUAUUCCUUGCACUAUUGGUGAUCGAAAAUUCAAGAAGGCUCUGAUUGACUUAGGAGCGAGUGUAAGUUUGAUGCCACUGUCCAUCUAUAGAAAUUAGGCAUCGGUUCUGUUCAAGAUACUCGAAUGACCUUCAGUUUGGCGGAUCGCUCUGUUCGGCGACCCUAUGGUAUUGUGGAAGAUGUUCUUGUAAAAUUGACAAGUUUGUCUUUCCAGUCGACUUCGUCAUUUUGGAAAUGCCAGAGGAUUAGGGAUCCUCUCAUAUUGGGAAGACUUCUUGAAAAACAGGACGGUGUAUGAUAGAUAUGAGGAAGGAACUAUGACCCUCAAGGUAUAUGAUGAAGAGUUAAGAUAGAGUGAGGAUACCAUGCAAUACAAAGAUGAUGUCGGCACAAGCAACACUAUAGAAGAUAAUCGAUCCAAGUAAUUGCUCAAGAAAAUGACCAGCAUUAGACCCCAGUCACCUUUAAACCGGGUCUUAAGCUUGUCCAUUUUUGAAAGUAAUGAAGAUGAAGGAAGAAUCUGCAUGAGUGCUUGCUCUGAUGGAAAAAACAACCUUGAAAUGCGAUUAGAUCUAGACCACCACCCGGUGGGAAGACUCUAAGACCACACCUCGAUUCACUGAAGAACCAAAAAAGGUGGUGAUCUGAACAGUUGCAACAAAUCUGAAGUAUGUAUUUCUGUGACACCGAAGACAAAAGUCCAGCCAUCAUUAAUGCUAGUCUACAGAGUGGGUCCCAAGGGCCAGAACUCAUUCAAGGCUAAAAAAAUACAAGGGGCAAUCCGGAUGGGCAUUGAUCGACUUAAAAGGGUAUAAGCCUACUGUUUGCAUGCACAAGAUCUUAAUGGAGGAUGACCACAAAACCGUAGUGCAACCACAACGAAGACUUAACCCAUCCAUGAAAGAAGUGGUUGCGCAAAGAGGUUGUAAACCUCUGUGAUGCGGGCCUAAUUUACCUAUCUCCGAUAGUUCUUGGGUAAGGAUCCAGUCCACGUGGCUACCCCAAAAAAGGGGGCAACAACGGUAAUUAAGAAUGAAAAGAAUGAGUUGAUUCAACCCACACUGUUACAUGUUUGGAGAGUGUGCAUCGAUUACAGACAGGCUAAAUGUGGCAACAAGGAAGGUCACUUCCCAUUACCAUUCAUUGAUCAAAUGCUGGAAAGCGUUAGCAGGACACGAGUGCUAUUCUUUCCUAGACGGUUAUUCAGGGUACAACCAGAUUGCGGUUGCCCCUGAAGACCAAGAGAAGACUGCAUUCACAUGCCCCUAUGGUAUUUUCGCUUAUAGAAGAAUGCCAUUUGGCUUGUGCAAUGCACCAACCACAUUUCAAAGGUGUAUGACUUCUAUUUUUCAUGACAUGCUCGAAAAGCAUAUGGAAGUAUUUAUGGAUGACUUCUCGGUGUUCGGUUCUUCAUUUGAUAACUGUUUGACUAACCUGUCACUUGUUUUAGAAAGAUGCCAGCAAAAAAAUUUGAUCCUGAAUUGGGAAAAAUGUCACUUCAUGGUCCGGGAAGGAAUAGUAUUGGGACACAAGAUCUCCAACAAGGGUAUCGAAGUGGAUAUAGAAAAAGUGGAGGUAAUAGCAAACUUACUACCACCAGUGAAUGAAAAAGGCAUCAGAAGCUUCUUAGGACAUGUGGGUUUCUACCGCAGGUUCAUAAAAGAUUUCUCCAAGAUUACCAAACCAUUAACUAGUCUGCUGGUAAAAGAUACCCCGUUCUUAUUUGACAAAGAAUGCAGGAAAGCCUCCGAGACCUUGAAGAAGGAGAUGGUGUCAGCACCCAUAGUUAUUGCCCCAGAUUGGUCUCUUCCUUUUGAGAUAAUGUGUGAUGCAAGUGAUAGCGUAGUGGGGGCGGUACUAGGGCAACGCAAGGAGAAGCUCUUGCAUGUGAUCUACUAUGCAAGCCAUGUACUCAACCUUGCUCAAAUGAACUAUGCAACCACAGAAAAAGAACUCCUGGAGGUGGUAUACGCUUUUGACAAAUUCAGAUCCUAUCUGCUGGGAUCAAAGGUAAUUGUAUAUACUGACCAUGCUGCUUUAAAAUAUCUUUUUGCAAAACAGGAAUCCAAGCCGAGGCUGCUGCGAUGGAUCCUCCUACUACAGGAAUUCGAUCUAGAAAUCAGAGAUAAAAAGGGUAGUGAAAACACUGUUGCUGAUCACUUGUCUCGGAUGACUGCGAUUCAAGAAACUGAAGAAACACACCCCAUCAGAGAUGAGUUUACGGACGAACUCAUUCUAGCCGUUACGCAUAUCCCAUGGUUUGCCGAUUACGCGAACUUUAUGGUAGGUGGACUGAUACCUGAUGACUUUGACUCUAACAGACGAAAAAAGUUUUUGCAUGAUUGCAGGUUCUAUGUAUGGGACGAUCCAUUCCUUUACAAAAAGGGAUUAGAUGGUCUAGUCAGGAGAGUAGGUGGACUGAUACCUGAUGACUUUGACUCUAACAGACGAAAAAAGUUUUUGCAUGAUUGCAGGUUCUAUGUAUGGGACGAUCCAUUCCUUUACAAAAAGGGAUUAGAUGGUCUAGUCAGGAGAUAUGUUUCAGAGGAAGAGCAAAGGGACAUUUUAAAAGCCUGUCAUAACUCCGAAUAUGGAGGAGAUUUCAGCGGAGAUAGAACCGCAACCAAAUUCCUCCAAUCUGGAUUGUACUGGCAUUCUGGGCCAUCAAAUUCCUCAACUAUGAUCUGGCCAAAGCGGGAAAAUCUCGGAUCCUCCAAUUACAAGAGCUGGAAGAGUUCAGGAAUCGAGCGUAUGAGAAUGCCAAGAUAUACAAAGAACAAACCAAAACCUAGCAUGACAGGCGCAUUCAGAAGAAAGACCUUCAGGAAGGACAACUGGUGUUAUUAUUCAACUCAAGGUUGAAACUCUUCCCAGGGAAACUGAGGUCCCGAUGGUCGGGACCCUUUGAGAUACAAAAGGUAUUUUCACAUGGAGCCGUUGAACUAAGAAAUCCAGCGAACGGAGACACGUUCAAGGUAAAUGGGCAGAGAGUGAAACCUUACAUACAAGACCAGGAGGAUGGUCCUAUAGAAAAAAUCUGUCUCACCUAAGCAGACGGAGAACCCUCGAGCCAUGCGACGUUAAACGAAUCGCUUCGUGGGAGGCAACCCACGCUUUUUAUUUCUAAUUAGUUGUAUGUGUCUGAAGGUAUACAGGAGUUCUACAAGGAGGAGCCAGAGGAACCAGUGGUUGACUUGACAAGAAAACCAAAAAACGGCCAAAAGGACAGCCUUACCACUCAUCAUUAUCAGAUUUUUACAAAACUUAUCAUCACUCUCUCUCAUACUUUUUCAUCUUCUUCUCUCACUCUCUCACAAACUCCAUUAAAACUCACUCACCUCACCAUACAAAACCCUACAUACAACCAAGUUCCACUCUCCUAUAGCUCAAACACCCUUUACAAAUAUUUCUCACCUCGCCGUCCCGGUCGCAACCACGGUUUUAGAUUUUUCUAACUCAAAAGUUCGGAAUAUUGUUAUUUUUUGCAGGUCCAAAAUGCCCCCGAGAAGAAUCCUUACCGGAAAGCAACAACUUGCAGAGAUGGCGAAGUCCCGGAAGUGGCCGAGCCGAAAUCCUAAUCCCCACAAUAUUGUGUUUGACAACCCGGAGCAAAAGCGACGUUACCAAAUUCACCGGAAGCGCAAGCUCACGCCAACCAGGUAUAUGUGUGAGAAUACUCUGACCGCUCUAGGGCUGAAAAUUGAGGUAGACUAAAUGUUCCUUGUCUUGGGCAUGCUCAAGUUAUGAGUUUGGAGGCGCCGACCUACGAGCGCAUUACUCUCGAGUUCCUUAGUACUUUGGAGUUCCAACUGGAAAAGCGGUGGGUUAACACAACCAGGUAUUAUUUUGGCACCUUACAUUUCCGGUUGUUUAACAAUUAUCAUGAGUUUUCUGUUGAGGAGUUAGCUGCAAUACUCCGACUCCCUCUGAACGGGCCCGGAGUGGUCCCAGACGAGUUUUCUCCUAAGGAUUUCUGGAUCGCCAUAAUUGGGAGGACGGAUUACUCCUCCAAAGGUGCAAAAGCCUCGGGCAUCCAGAAUCCUUGUUUCAGGUACGCCCAAAAAGGUUCAGCCUACACGUUGUUCGGUAGAGGCGAUAACACUGGGGUAGCUACUCAGAGAGAGCUAUUUUUCAUGUACUUAAUGACCCAAACCAAGACCGUCAAUGUAGUUGCCUUUGCAGCAGACUACCUAGGGAGAGUAGGCCGAGCUAACUCCGGAGGAAUAUCCAUGGGAGGAAUGAUCACCCAAAUUGCAUUGCAUUUCGGGUAUUAGGCUGUUUUACUUGAGGACACGCCAAUUGCAGGUAAUACAAAAAUUGACAUGUCUGCUCUGAUUUCCCAAGGUAUGAUUGCGGUUGCCCCUACCUAUUAUUCCGUCCUCAUUCAUAAAAGGUUUAUCAUCGCUCUGCCAGAUCCGGAUAGAGUGGCUAUUACUGAUUGUGCAAAUUGGUUGUAUGUGAGCGUCGAUCCCGAUGCGGAUGAGGGCCACGACACUGACCAUUUUAAUACAGGUGAGCGAUUUGUGGAUGAUCAGGCAGAAGGAACGGAAAUAGAAGAGGAAGAUCCUCAAGCACCUCCUGAGCAGUUUUCCCCACAGCAUCAAGAACCUUCCCAGCAAGCGGCGGGUUCAUCAUCUUGGUCCACUGACCAAUGGAGCUGGGUACAGAUCGAGAUAGGUGACUUGAGGACUGAACAGCAAAGGCAAGGCAUCGAGCAAGCCCGUCAGGGAGCGAUGUUGGAUGAGAUGAGCAGCAUGAUGCGAUAGUUGAUGUUGCAUUUCCCACACCCACCUCCUCAGUAGGACCCUAUGAGUUCCCUCCUCCGCGUUUGUUCACAAACAUUAUGGACAAUGUUGAGUUCAAGUGUGGGGGAGAUUUUAUAUCUUUUAUUUGUAAUUUGUUUUGUGUUAUUUUUACUUUUUAAUUUUGUAUUUUAGAUUGAAUUUGUCUGUUGAAGGUACAUUAUGCUACAAGUGUGUGUGUCAAGUCUGUGUUGACAGGUUGGAAAAGUAAUGAUCAUAAUUGAGAGUGGAUGAAAGAUCACACCACUCACCAUGGCUUAUUGUGAAGAAUCUCCCCAGAAAGUGACACUGUUGAAAGUAAAGAUUGGACGCAACGUAUACAGCUUAACCGACACGAGUAUCCUGCACACUCCGAAGCAAGAUAGCAAUUGCACCAAAUUAAGGAGCACUGUGGAUCCUGUCAAAGCUAAACCAAACCAAGUGAGUCAGAAAAGGCCAAACACAUUAAUCAUCAUGAGCGUCAUUCAGGUUUGUCUUUAUCACUCUAAAUUUGCGUAGACUCUCUAGGACUGUCACUGCAUGAUAUACACACCGAGGCACGUUGUUUGUAAUUAACCCCAAGCCUUUCUAGCCAUCCCGAAUUAUUAUAUCCCUCGUUAACCCCCUUUGAGCCUAUAUCCAUUUUUUGUUUAAAACACCAUGAAUGUAACCAUUGGCCAAAAACACUUCCUCACCCUGUUCAAAGUCAUGAGAAUACAUUCCAAUUAUGUUGAAAAGCUAAGUUUGGGGUAAAAAACCCCAAAAGCUCUCAAAGCCCUAGAAAGUGCAAAAACAAAAGAAAAAGAAAAAUUGAUGAAUCGAGAAAAAGAAAGAAAAAUAAAAAUCAAAUAAUCGAUGAUUCAAAAGAAAAAGCACGAAAAAGAGGAGUCGGUAAAAAUUCAAGAAAAGAAAAUUGAGGAAAUAAAAGAAACAAACACAGGAUGUAACAUCGACUCUGAACCAAAAGCCCCUUUUUUCCUUUUUUGAAUCCAUACCCUAACCCAAGCCAAGCUACAACUCGAAAGACCUCAAAAAGUGUGUGUGUUGUGUGUAGGUGAUGAGAAAAGAGAGACUAUUCAAACUUGUGAGUGAUAUUGCAUACUUUGAAUUAUGAGUGUAAACAGCUUACCCCGAGAGAAUUGGUGAAGUGUGUAGGUGAUGAGAAAAGAGAGACUAUUCAAACUUGUGAGUGAUAUUGCAUACUUUGAAUUAUGAGUGUAAACAGCUUACCCCGAGAGAAUUGGUGAGAAUGUGAAAUAAGCUGACAGGUGAAAUGGUGCUUUAAAGUGGAAUUGUGAAUGAUGACUUAUGAGGAUGGGUAGGAAUUGUGGAAGGAAAAGGGAAGACGUUCGCGAAUGAUCGCAGUAGUGGUGGAAAGCAUAAAGAAUUCUGGGGAGUGAUAAUGAAACAUUACUUGGGACAAGCAAUGAGCUAAGUUUGGGGUUGUGAUCAGUCACCAUUUAUAGUAAGUUUUCAUUACUGAUCCGACACAAAACAGAGACAUUUGAUACACUGUGCAAGCAUUUAAGGUACAAUUCGAGUAGUUUUACUUCCAUUAUUUUAUUUACGCAUUUUUAAUCUUUGUUAUGUUUUACUUUGUUUAUCUUGAUUUUAUGCGUGGGAUAGCUGUGUUUUUGUCCGACAGAUCCAGGUAGAAGAACCGGAGAGCUCAGAACACGACAGUGCGAGAGUCCGGCACGCAAAAGAGCAGAAAACCCCGGUACAGGAGGCCUGACACGGCCACCCGUGUCACCUGAAACGGGCCAUGUUAGGGAAAGGGAAGCAGAAGAACGAAAACAGUAGCCUGACACGGCCACCCGUGUCAGCUGAUACGGGUUGUGUCAGGCAGAAACCCCCCUGUGUUAGGCUUGCCAUGGGCGUGUCAGGAGAAACAGUAGGCUGACACGGGCCGUGUCAGCCCAAGCCCAAUAUUUCCAAUUUUCUCGGGCUUUUCAUUCUUCAGGCUUUGUGGAGACAUCUUUGGACCUGUCCAACUGCUGCUGGGAACUUUCACUAUAAAAAGAGGUCUUCUGCCAAAGGAAAAAUCAUCUUGGAAUACAGCAAACCACUGUAUUGUGAAGCAAUCAAGUAUUACAAAGAUCAAGGCGUUUGGAGAGCUGAAAAGAUUCAUGAGCGGGAGCGAUUGAAGAUCAAAGUCAUCCAAUUACUUGUAAUGUGUAAUUUUUAUCUUGAAUUUGUUUUAAAAAAUAUGAGUAGCUAAACCCCCCAAUGCUAGGGGGGUGUCCCUGAUUUAGAAUUGUAAUGAAUUUGAGUUUACAUUUGCAUUUAUAAUAUUUUAUUUACGGUAACCUUUUAAUGUGUUUAUUGCUUUCUCUUUCGGACCAAUUGAGAUUGAUCUAUGGUUACCACUUAGGCUGGACCGCCAGUGGUAAGGUUUUCAUCAGGUUACUCUGCAGUAGAUAUCACCUAGGACUAGGGAUACCCUGUAUGAACCAGAGCAUUCUUGAUAUUAUACAGCUUAACUUCACCCUAAUUGGCUAUGGACAUAGGAAUUAGGGUAGAUUGAUUAAAGGUUUUCUCACCAGGACUUGGGAGAAAAUACCUUGAGAACUGGUAGUAAUUGAUAUUUGUUGAUGCAAUAGUAACUCAGAGUUAUUACAGGAUAAAUCAACACCUUCCCUAGCAUUGUUCCUUUUUCUCUAUAACCCUUAUUUUCAUAUUCUGUAUUAUUUUCUUUUUACACUCAAAAACCAAAUUAAUACUUUUUUUUGUUUAAUUGAAUGAUAAUUUAAACUCAAUACUAACGUGCAGUCCUUGAGAUCGACAUUCGGGGAAUUUCCCCAUUAUUACUAUAACAGGCAAAAUAGUACACUUGCUAUUUUCCCGAUCAGAUGUCCCUUUUCACAACUUCGCAACCCCUCAGGUUAAUACUAUAGAUAACACAACCAUCAUGGACCUCCGGAUAAAACGCACAUUAAAAACCUUAAACUCGCCAGGACAACCAUCCACCAUAUUCACAGAAGAGUUCCCAUGAGCGGGCAACGAAUUUGCUUUCACAUUCGGCGCACGGUCCUCGAAGGACACCAUUCCACUUUUCAUCAGCUUUUUGAACCUCAUACUUGAGCGGAUAACAAUUCUCGGUAUCAUGUUCGGGUGCUCCUUGAUGAAAAGCACAAUGGAGCUCAGGCUUGUACCACCAUGGAAGUGGUUCUGGAAUUUGCGGCUGGUUUCUCGGUUGGAUUAGGUUCUUGAGAACCAAAGAUGGGUAUAAUUCUGCAUAAGACAUAGGAAUCGGGUCGAAAGAGACCUUCUUCCUCUCGAAGUUUUGUUGAUGAUGAUUGUUGGUAUUGUUGUUGUAGGUGUUUGUUUGUUGUUGCGGUUGUUGUUGUUAAACUGGUGUUGAUUGUUGAUUAGAAAACACAGGGAUAACUGAAUAUACUUGAUGAUGAUGUUGUCAGGAUGUUGGAUUCCUUCUGAUCUGGGGCCUCCUCUGCCUCCCACUGCUUAUUGCAUUUGCUUCAUUGUCCUUUUUCUUCCCAAAAUUGAUGCCAUACCUCUUACUCGACGAUGCUUCAUCUUUCGACAAACGUCCCUCCCAGACUCCUUCCUCAAGCCUCAUCCCCAUGUUUACCAUUUUGGUAAAGUCACUGGGGGUACUAACAAUCAUCCGUUCAUAAUAAAAUGAACUCAGAGUUUUCAGAAAGAUCUUUGUCAUCUCUUUUUCCUCCAAAGGAGGAGUGAUCUAGGCAGCCAAUUCCCUCAAUCUUUGCGCAUACUCUUUGAAUGUCUCCUUAUCCUUCUGAGACAUAAACCUCGACUGGUCUCUAUCAGGCGUCAUAUCCAUAUUAUACUUAUAUUGCUUGACAAAAGCCUCUCCCAAGUCAUUGAAAGUGUGAACGCUUGCACUGUCUAAUCCCAUAUACUAACGGAGCGCAGCACCGGUCAAACUAUCUUGGAAGUAAUGAAUCAACAGUUGAUCAUUGUCGGUCUGAGUAGACAUCUUGUGAGCAUACAUCAAUAGAUGACUGAGUGGACAAGUAUUCCCUUUAUACUUUUCAAAUUCAGGCACUUUGAACUUCACAGGGAUCUUGACGUUGGGCACUAAACACAACUCAUCAGCACUCUUUCCAAAUAAGUCCUUACCUCUAAGCGUCUUCAAUUCCUUGCGCAACUCAAGAAACCGAUCUUUCAUUUCAUCCAUUUUCUCAUAGACAUCCGGACCCUCAGACGGCUCGCAGUGAUAAACGGUGUCCUCUACAUGAGGUAAGGUGUGCACAAUGGGAAGUGGCACAGACAUGAUUGGGCUAGAUGCCGGCAUGGAAGCAAAAGUAGGCGCAAAGCCUUCAGGCAUAAAGUUGGACGACAUUCCCCACGAGAAUCCGGAAGACAUAGUGGGCGCAAAAUAAGCGGUAGCAGCAAGCAUGGUAGAGGUAGCCACCUCUAAAAUAACUGUCCUCUGAGGAGGAGGAGUUGCAGGUGUUGGAGAAGUUUGGCUCUGAGCGGAAAGAACUUACUCCAUCAUGGUAGUCAGGCGGACGAUCUCGUCCUUCAGCUCUCUGUUCUCUUGCUCUAGAUGCUCCAUAAUUCUCAGAUGAUUGGCGCGAGUGUUGUACCGAUGAGUCAACUUGGCUAAAGCACAGAAGAAACACCAAUGAGACAUCUGACGAAAGAGAAACCUGCUUAUGCAAAUGAUGCAUGAAAUGCAAUGCUUGUUUAUUUAUUUUUAUUUUCAAGGAACUUACUAUAUCAUUUCCCAAAUAUAUAUAUAUAUAUAUAUAUAUAUAUAUAUCAACAAUUGCAAUUUUUAUAUGACCAAAAGUCUCUUUUCAUUUACAAUUGGAAGGAUUACACUGAGUAUAAUUUCAGAAACCAAAUGAAAAAUACAAGAGAAAAGGAGACUAGUCAUCCUAAGGAUCCCUAACAACAAUGUCAGAAGACCUAGCUGAAGGCGCGUACUUCCUUCGAAUGCGAUGGAUCUCGGUCUCAAAAGAAGCUUUCAUCCGAGUCUUCUCGAGGACAAGUUGAUCAACAAUCUUAUUCCAAGCAAUGGAAGGCUGAGGCGUGCUAGAAGAUGAAACCUCUGGCUCCCUCUGUCUCUUUGUCACUCGGUAUUCAAGUAGCUCAAUAAGUGCAUCAUUGUCCUUAGACUCCAACUGCAACUCUUCAUGCUUAUUGCUCAAAGCACAGAAACGCUCUUCCCACGUAUCCUUCUCUUGCUUCAUCUUGAUGAGCGCAUCUUCCAACUCCUCUACAUCUUGGUUAGGGAGAGUUAGUGGCUCAACCACAACCAUAGACAUAGGUCUUUCACAAGGAUAAGGCAUCUUUAACUCCAAAGCUCUCUUCUUCACCCAAAGAGUGUAAGCUUCCAAAGCUACACAAUUGCACGGACCAAGUUCAGAUCUUCCUUUCCUAUGCACAUUAUGCUAAGCAUGUAUAAUAUUCUGCUUCAAAUGUUGGGGAUCUUUACCCUCUUGAUAGAAAAGACCUUCUAACAAAGUGUUAUUAGGUUUGUCUCUCAAGGGUAACCCAAGCUGACGACGAGCCAAAGCAGGGUUGUAGUUAAUUCCUCCUUGUGUACCAAUGAGAGGCACAUUAGGGAAUUCACCACAAUUAUCAAUAAUGUUCAAACAUACCAAAGAAGGAUCAUACCAAACUAUAUCAUCAUUAGUGAGAGACAUAAGUCUCUGAGACCACCGUAGACAUUGUUUGUUCUCCACAAAAGCAAGUGUUUGAGGCAAGUGCGAAAUAAACCACUUGUAUAGAAGAGGAAUACAACAGACAAUAGUUCCACCAUCCUUAGAAUUCCUUAGAUGCAAAGAGAAAUACAUAUCAGCCAACAAAGUAGGCACAUGAUUCCCAAUCAAGAAAAGUCUAAUGGCGUUAACAUCAAUAAAACCGUCAAUGUUAGGGAACAAAGCUGAUCCAUAAAUGAGAAACACAAAGAUAGCUUCAAAAGCAUCCACACUACCGGCUUAAGCAAAAGUAGUAGCUUCCUUGAUGAGGAAAUCAGAUGGAAACCCAAACAAUCCUCCUUUCUUCACCCAAUGAGCCUCUAUCUCAAACUUCUUCAAGUGAAGAGCUUCAGCAAUAAGACUAGAUCGGGGAAUCUCCUCCAAUCCACUAAAAGACACUCUACUAAAAACAGGUAUCCCCAAAAGAUGAGAAUACUCCUCCAAGGUAGGCAUAAGCUGAAAAUCUGGGAAGGUGAAACAACGGUAGAGAGGAUCAUAGAACUGCACUAGCACACUCAAAAGUCCUUCAACCACAUCAGCAGAUAAGAUGGACAAAAGCUUCUCAUAGCACUGUUUGAAGUCCAAGGGAUCUAAUACAAAAGAUGCUAGCUUCCUUAACUCUUUCAAGUCGGGACAUCUGAAACUGUACUUCUUGGUGUUCCUUUGUCCACAAUCCAUGGUCUGAAAAUAUUUGCAAAUAAUACCUCAGUUCCUUGAAAUUUUUCGUGUGAUGAAUGUUAUGAUGCGCAUGAAUGCAUGAAUGCAACAAUCACAAAUAAAGGAUCAUACACAAGGCAAACAAAGGUCAAAGGAUGAAUCAAGUCAUUGUCAAGAUCAAUCAUCCAUUUUGGUGGAUUAUGGUUUACACCUUAUCGACACCCAAGUUCCAUUGAUAUUGACAAGACUUGAUUGGAUCAACCAAGAAUCAAGGGUUUGUAAUCGACACCCAAGUUCCAUUGAUAUUGACAAGACUUGAUUGGAUCAACCAAGAAUCAAGGGUUUGUUGUAAGUCACGAGCAUGGAGUCUGGGUAAGAACCAUCCCAAAGGAGUGAACUAAGGAUAAAUACCUGUAGAUCAUGUUCUAAAAAGUUCCUAGAGUCUUAAUUCCAUCUAUCGGAUAUUACAGGUUAAGAUGACUGAGUCAUCGACCCAUAAUAUUCUCAAGAGAAACUCGUCUGAGUGUAGUAUCGCGUAACAACUGUUAUCAAGUCUACACUUGAAUAGUCCCUGCACUACAUCCUAAAUAGGCCAAGAGGGGUUAAAUGUUCUAAGCUCCUCAGCUUCUCGGACCCAAAUCAGAGAUAGUAAUGCCUAACCACAAAUACUUGUGUGACAUUUCCAAAUCCAAAAGAGUCUCCACUGAGCAGAUGGAUCUCAAGCCAACUUGUUAAGGACUACUCACACAAGUUGAACAUGACUAUACCAUCCUCAUAUCUUAAUUGCAUUCAAGUUCAGGUUAGAACUUAUCUCACCACUUAGAGAUCACCAAGCACAAUAAGCAGAUUAUAUCACACAUACAUAUAUACAAACAUCACAUAUAUACAAAUAUAUACACGCAAAAAGUAGGCUAAACCCACUGGAGUUUACUCCCCAGCAGAGUCGCCACUUAAUUUCUGUAGCGGUAAAUUCAUGAUCAUCAAGCUAUGGAUAAGCUAGACAUCAAAUAAAAAGAGUCACCACCACGCUUUUAUUGUUUCCAAAGGAAAAGGGAAAAAGUACGAACACAACCCAAAAGUAAGAAGUUUCCAAAUCAAAACUAAUAAAAUGUCAGAGAUUACAGGUAAGGGGUUGGUUACACAGAGGGAAGGUGUUAGCACCCAAAGUGUCCUAGGUACUCCUAGGGAGCCCUUUUUGUGUGCAUAUGUAUUUGGUACAAANAAAAAAUUUCAGAAUUUUUAAAGACUUAAAAGUAUUUUUAAACAAUUAAAAAUAAUCACAAAAUCAAUUAAAUCAUGAAAAAUAUUAAUAAUGAUCCAAAAAAUAAUUUUAAUUCAGAAUAUGAAAGAGGAAAUUAUUUGAAAUUAUUCGGUGAAACUCUCAUAUUUUUUGGAUCAAUAUUAAAAUUAAUAUGAAUUAAUGAAAAUAAAAGGAUUAAAACAAAAAUAUGAAAAUAUGAAAAAACGUGAGCCACUUGAUCUCCCUCAUUAGUUGAGGUGGCAGAUCAAGUGGCCUAGAACGCACGUUCCAUGAUGCACUGUAGUCAACGCAGUAUAGGCUUGGUAAUCACAAUGGACACAUGAGAUUAAAACAUUUUAAAACAGAUUAAUGGCUUUGAACACUUCCAGCGCAUCUCCGGAGUCCAAAGGCCGGUCAUCUUCUCUGAUGACCCUGGCCGGACUGGUUCACUCAUCACCAUCAAUAAAAUGAAAAAGGAGGACAUGAUAUGAAAUAAAAAAUGGCGUAGAACACGAAUCUGACCUCAAUUUCAACUAACUCCAAAUAUAUAAAAAGAUAAGAGGAGUUGAACUUUGAGGUGUGUCAAUUGAGUUGCUUCGAUUUGACCUCUAAGCAACUCAAUCUUAUUUCCUACAUUAGUAGGACUUCAGACAACCAAAGAUCCAAGAGAAUUGAGUAGAAUUGAGUGAGAAUCGAAGAGAUGAAGUUUUCUGAAAAUUACCUUCAAUGCUAUGCAGUUCUUGAUGUGGCUUGCUCCAAACACGAAUAGAAUUGAGUGAGAAUCGAAGAGAUGAAGUUUUCUGAAAAUUACCUUCAAUGCUAUGCAGUUCUUGAUGUGGCUUGCUCCAAACACGAUCUGAUCACACUUGAGAAGCUAGCAGGAAGUGAUUAGACAAGUUGCAAGGCUUUGGAUUCUGGAGUUCUUGAAUCUCCAACAGUUGAGAUUCAAACUCAAAUUUCAAAUUGAAAUUUCUCAAGUUUUCCUUUAGAAUGAGAGGGUUUCAAUGGGGGCAAAGCUAGCGUCCAAAAGGUUGUUCAAAUGAGCUCAGAGGCAUGUUAUUUAUAGCCAAAUGGAAUGAUAUUUACACACUUCAAAAUCUGUCCAAAAUUAGCAAUGUGGAUGGCACGAGUGCAUGGGCAUGUGCAAGCCCAUGAUGCAAUGCAAUAAGGUCCAAAAUUAUUCCAAUUAAGGUCUGAAUGGAAGCUUGAUUGGCAAGGCAAAGUGAACUGAAGUUUUGAAGUUUGAUUCUUUCCAAUUAUGCAGCCCUGUUAAAGCCAUGCGUAGACCUAGCAAACCUCAUCCAAAAUGCAUGAACUUGGGUUCUUUGGAAAGCUUGGAUCAAGGGGAACAAAUUUGAUGUUAAACAAUUUUUCAUUUGGAGUUUGUAACAUGGAGAAUUUUGAGGUGGAAGUUUGGAAAUUUCAACAUGUUGAAAAUGUUUCUAAGUGUCAAGCCAUAUAUCUCAGUAUUCCACCUUGCUUAACUUUUAAUGUGAGCUUCAAAUGAGAAAAGUGUCUCCAUCAAAGUUGUAGAUAUUUAAAAUUAAUUCAAAAUGGUCACCAAUUUCAUGUCAUUUGGGUUUAGAAUGAUAGAGUUAUGCAUUUUUGAAGUUUGGAAAAAUUACUUGUUCAAUGGUAUAGGUCAAAAAUGACCUAUAAUGUAACCUUAUAUCACAUGCUCAUAAAAGUUGAAUUAGAUCUCACUCCAAACAUAAAAGUUGAAGUAGACAUCUCGAAUUUGUUUGUGCAACUUGGAGAUCUUUUAUCUCAUAAAAAAUGAGCAAGUUAUGGCCUUGGGAAGCUGACUUUCAAAUUAGGGUUUAGACAAAAUAACCUAUAAUGUUUCAACAUAGAAAAUGAUUUUACAAGUAAAACUAGCUCUAGGUCUCAACAUGAAAGUUGUUUGGAAUGUCAUUUAGAGUAAAUUGUCUCUUGGAAUAAUUUUCAUAUGGUGAAAAUUGUAGGAGAUAGGGUCUAGGGAGACCCAGUUUUGAUCAGAUGAAUUCAUCUGGCCAACCACCAUCAACCAACUUGCUAACCUUCAAUUCUUUUGACACAUAUGGUGAAAAUUGUAGGAGAUAGGGUCUAGGGAGACCCAGUUUUGAUCAGAUGAAUUCAUCUGGCCAACCACCAUCAACCAACUUGCUAACCUUCAAUUCUUUUGACUUUCUUGGCUCAUGGUAUAUCAUAUAUGCAUAAGAUGAUAAAUUUUGAAGUGUCCCUUGAGAAAUUUGAUCAAUUGGUGAGAUAGCUUAUUGGAGAAGUUACUCAAGAUACCCAGUCUAACUAGGGUUUCCAAGGCAAAUCACUUCGAAACUCUUGAAGAAAACUUGAUCAAUAUGACAUGUAGAGAUCAAUGGAACUCAUAUAUGAUGCUCAUAACCAUUCUUGGAUUAAUUCAUGGUUGUGCUCUUUGUCAUGAGGGUCUCAAACCCUAGAUAUGAACUUGAUAGAUCAAUGGAGAUCAUGCCCUACCUACAAAGGGGUUAGGCAAAUGCAAAGACAUAUUUUUGGUAUUUUGGUUAGUAAAAUGAUAAAAUACAAGUAUGAUACAAUCACAAAGUGGCUUAGUGACUCUUCCAAACAAAACCAAUGAAUAGAGGGGUAAGGAGGAUGCCAAGGUAUGAUCCCAAUGCUAAUGCUUAUGAUGAAAUUGCAUGAGGGAUCUUAGGGUCAAAAUUGGGGUCUUACAGCUACCCCUAUUUAAGGACAUUCUAACUGAGAAGGCGAAGGUUAAAAUCUUCAUGUCGACUCAGUAGAAUGGGCUUAAAUAACAACAUAAAGAAACAAAUUUUUGUCCCUAAGAGACCUCAUGAUGCAUAUGAUAUGAAUGUAAAAGUAAAUUCUUUGUGUGGAAAUAUUGCCACAAAGGAAAAGAAAUCAGAGACCGAAAGUCCGAAGGAGUAUAAUGCAUUCCGUAAGGAACACUUACUGAGGAGACAAAGACUCUAGGGGAUAAAGGAGUUAUGCGUAGGUCAGGCUAUGACUUAAAACUACUGAGGGACUAGAGGAAUUCCAUAUAAAAUGGAAAGACUCAGUCGGGGAAACAAUAACAUCUGCAGGGGAUACAAGUAAGUCAGGAUAAAACUGAAAUACUUGAAUCAUGCAGGGCAAACAAUUUCACUUAGGAAAGGCGCACACAACUCAACUUGGGAAGAAAUAAACUUCAACACAGGAGGAGCAAAAAUUUAUUAUCUUCCUCUCUCUCUCUCUUAUAUAUAUAUAUUAUUUUUCAAGGAGGUGUCAAAAUUUCUUCCAAUUUCGAUUAAAUCAUCUAAUAGUCUUUCCUUAGUGUCCUUUUCAUAAUGCUCUCUCUCUCUCUCUCUCUAUCUAUCUCUCUCUCUCUUAUAUAUAUAUAUAUANNNNNNNNNNNNNNNNNNNNNNNNNNNNNNNNNNNNNNNNNNNNNNNNNNNNNNNNNNNNNNNNNNNNNNNNNNNNNNNNNNNNNNNNNNNNNNNNNNNNNNNNNNNNNNNNNNNNNNNNNNNNNNNNNNNNNNNNNNNNNNNNNNNNNNNNNNNNNNNNNNNNNNNNNNNNNNNNNNNNNNNNNNNNNNNNNNNNNNNNNNNNNNNNNNNNNNNNNNNNNNNNNNNNNNNNNNNNNNNNNNNNNNNNNNNNNNNNNNNNNNNNNNNNNNNNNNNNNNNNNNNNNNNNNNNNNNNNNNNNNNNNNNNNNNNNNNNNNNNNNNNNNNNNNNNNNNNNNNNNNNNNNNNNNNNNNNNNNNNNNNNNNNNNNNNNNNNNNNNNNNNNNNNNNNNNNNNNNNNNNNNNNNNNNNNNNNNNNNNNNNNNNNNNNNNNNNNNNNNNNNNNNNNNNNNNNNNNNNNNNNNNNNNNNNNNNNNNNNNNNNNNNNNNNNNNNNNNNNNNNNNNNNNNNNNNNNNNNNNNNNNNNNNNNNNNNNNNNNNNNNNNNNNNNNNNNNNNNNNNNNNNNNNNNNNNNNNNNNNNNNNNNNNNNNNNNNNNNNNNNNNNNNNNNNNNNNNNNNNNNNNNNNNNNNNNNNNNNNNNNNNNNNNNNNNNNNNNNNNNNNNNNNNNNNNNNNNNNNNNNNNNNNNNNNNNNNNNNNNNNNNNNNNNNNNNNNNNNNNNNNNNNNNNNNNNNNNNNNNNNNNNNNNNNNNNNNNNNNNNNNNNNNNNNNNNNNNNNNNNNNNNNNNNNNNNNNNNNNNNNNNNNNNNNNNNNNNNNNNNNNNNNNNNNNNNNNNNNNNNNNNNNNNNNNNNNNNNNNNNNNNNNNNNNNNNNNNNNNNNNNNNNNNNNNNNNNNNNNNNNNNNNNNNNNNNNNNNNNNNNNNNNNNNNNNNNNNNNNNNNNNNNNNNNNNNNNNNNNNNNNNNNNNNNNNNNNNNNNNNNNNNNNNNNNNNNNNNNNNNNNNNNNNNNNNNNNNNNNNNNNNNNNNNNNNNNNNNNNNNNNNNNNNNNNNNNNNNNNNNNNNNNNNNNNNNNNNNNNNNNNNNNNNNNNNNNNNNNNNNNNNNNNNNNNNNNNNNNNNNNNNNNNNNNNNNNNNNNNNNNNNNNNNNNNNNNNNNNNNNNNNNNNNNNNNNNNNNNNNNNNNNNNNNNNNNNNNNGGAGGUGUUAAAUUUUCUUCCAAUGUCGAUUAAAUCAUCUAAUAGUCUUUCCUUAGUGUUCUUUUCAUAUUGCUCUCUCUCUCUCUCUCUCUCUCUCUCUCUCUCUCUCUCUCUCUCUCUCUUGUAUAUAUUUUUUUUUUCAAGGAGGUGUUAAAAUUUCUUCCAAUGUCGAUUAAAUCAUCUAAUAGCCUUUCCUUAGUGUCCUUUUCAUAAUGCUCUCUCUCUCUCUCUAUCUCUCUCUUAGAUAUAUAUAUAUAUAUAUGUAUAUAUAUAUAUAUAUAUUGUUUUUUAAGGAGGUGUUAAAUCUUCUUCCAAUGUCGAUUAAAUCAUCUAAUAGUCAUUCCUUAGUGUCGUUUUCAUAUUGCUCUCUCUCUCCCUCUCUCUCUCUCUCUUAUGUAUAUAUAUAUUGUUUUUCAAGGAGGUGUUAAAAUUUCUUCCAAUGUUGAUUAAAUCAUCUAAUAGCCUUUCCUUAGUGUCCUUUUCAUAAUGCUCUCUCUCUCUCUAUCUCUAUCUCUCUCUCUUAUGUGUGUGUAUAUAUAUANNNNNNNNNNNNNNNNNNNNNNNNNNNNNNNNNNNNNNNNNNNNNNNNNNNNNNNNNNNNNNNNNNNNNNNNNNNNNNNNNNNNNNNNNNNNNNNNNNNNAAGAUUAGUUGUUAGUUGUCAGUCUAACUCGGCAAGACAUCGCAUCUUGUGCCUACGUAUCUCAUCUGAACAUGAGAAUCAGAGUUGCCGUAGUUCGGCUACAUAGGGAUUGCCAUCUGAACAUGGAUUUACAAAGGAGGACACUAGUUGUGUCAAAGGAGAAUGGGCAAUGUGUUCAUGUCCUAGGAGUAGGUGUCGCAGCUCGCUGAAUCGAGUCUUAGGCAGUUACCUCUUUGCAAUAGGAUGGAUUGACAUGCCACAAGAUCGGAGAUGCACGGAAGGUCUAAAAGAAAUGGGGAAGUUCAGCCCUAGAGUUGUCAUGCAAUAUGUACUUAGGUGUUAGGAUUUACAAAUCUACAUUCGGAAAAAGCGUCAUCUAUCUCUACUCAACAAUCAUGGCCGAAACAUUGUUUUGUAUCUCUUAAGGCAAUAUAUCUUUCAUUUUAAAAGGUUUUUGAUUGGUCGCACGGCGGCGAGAAAAAAGAGUUUGAUUGGUUGGAUGUGCUUUGAGUGAUGGCGAGAACUAGGAUUGGCGAGAUAUACAUCUCGAAUCCUAGCCUCAGGAGUGCAUGGUAUACACCAUGUUCCAUUUCCAUCUUUAUUUGCAAAAGUGUUUAAUAGAGAUUAAGUAUUUUUAGGUUUGAUUGAGAAAGGGUUUGAAGAAACCGCAUUGACAAUUUUAGACGAUGGCGAGAGCUAAGAUUGGCGAGAUAUACAUCUCGAAUCCUAGUCUCAGGAGUGCAUGGUAUACACCAUGUUCCAUUUCCACCUUUAUUGAAAAAGUGUUAAAUAAGAAUUAGGUAUUUUGAGUUUUGUUGUGAAAAUGACUUGACCUAGAUCAAGUAUUGAUGGACGUUUGAGAAAGAUUUGAAUGAGUGUUUGAGAAAACAAAGUGGGUAAAUUGGAUGAUGGCGAGAGCUAGGAUUGGCGAGAUAUACAUCUCGAAUCCUAGUCUCAGGAGUGCGUGGUAUACACCACGUUCCACUUCCAUCUUUAUUGAAAAAGUCUUGACUAUGAAUUAAUAUUUUUUGAGUUUUUAUUAGAGAAAAUGGCUUGACGUUGAAUCAAGCAUUUGAUGAAAGUUUGAAAGAAAAGGAAUAGAAUAGGAGGGCGAAAUGAAUUGAUUUGUUUAUUGAGAAAAUACUCGACGUUGGAUCGAGUCAUAUUUUUUUUAUUUUUCUAGAAAUGGUGGAUUUUACUCUUGUGUUAGUAUCUAAAACGAAUAGAGAAGUAAAACAAUACAAAAUUAUAUACACAUUGGGGAAGUGGGGUACAUUUUGUCAAAUGGGGAUUCAAAAUCAUGAAAUAAUUAAAUCAGGCCCAAACAACAAAUGAUGCGAAAUAUGAGUGUAAGUGCAAGAGAACCGGCUCAUUGUAAGAAAGCCCAAGAGUAAGCUAUGUGAGGUUGAUGGCGAUGCUUAAAAAGCAAUCGACUUACAAAGGUGUGGAAAAUGGGCUCGAUAUUAAAUCGAGAAAAAUAUGAUUUUUAUAGUUUUAAAAUGGUUUUGAAUGAAUGAUGAAAUUAAAAGAAAACAAAUUUGCAUUAUUAACAAAUGAAACUAUGAGUAUAAUAAAGGCAUAAACAUAAAAAGAAAUGAAAAUGCUAAAAGAAAAUAAAAUAGCUAAAAGAAAUAAAAUGCCAAAAGAAAGCAAUGCUACAUAGGUGGGUAUUGAACCCACCCCACUAAAGACCAAAGAACUCACCCCUCUCCACCAGGCCACUUAUGACUAGUUAUUAUUUUGAUGCUAGUUUGGAUAAAUAAACUAAGAUAGAAUAAAAAUUAGAAUUAAAAUAAAAACUAAUAAAAAAGGAAAACUCUUGGACUACCAUAAUCAAACUCAGUCGCUUGGCUGUUGGGUUUUUCAAUGAGGGAUAAGUUGAAAACAAAAAAAAACAAUUAUUAACUAAUAACCUAGGAAUUCUAAACAAAACCUUUAAUGUUUUAAAAAAAACUUAUUCUGUUUAAAAAUAAAUCAAGGAAAAGAUAAAUUGGAAUAGUAACAGACUCGUUCUCUCCCCAUCUCACUUUUCUCUCACGCUCUCGGCAAGCUCGCUCUCUCCUCUCACGAACUCGCUCCCAAACUCGAAGAAAUCUCUCCCUCUAAAUUGUACCUUCCCCCCUCAAUCGCUCUCUCUCAGACGAGACUCCCUCUACUCUCAUCACCCUCAAUGAAUCUCUCAAUCGCAUCUUUCUCAAUCUCGUUCCCAAUCAAACUCAGAUGCUCAACAACGUUAAACAAAAGACAAGCAUAAAUCCACGGUUUCAAAGAGACAUCAAGCGGGAAUCUCACCUUUGGCGACGACAAUGAAUCAGGUGAGCUCGAGUCUUCCUCCUCCUCUCUUCCGACACUGGUUCUUACUUUGAUUUUUGGGAUUAGGGUUUCUCCUUUUUUGAAACUUUUCUCGCCGUUAAUUCCUCGUCCCCUUACUGAUUCGCUCUCCCUCUCUAUUUAUGUUCUGCUGAUUAGGGUUUUGAUUUGGUACUCAAAAGUUCAAAGAAGAAAAAAUUCCAGAAGUGCUUUUGUCUGCUCAGAAUCAGUUUUAUCCUAUUUUACGCUACAAUUUGGGAAAGGUAAUCUGAGCUCAAACUUUCUCUUUGAGUUUUGUCUCUAUUGCCUAAUCGGGAUAUUCUGGAUUUUUAACGCUUGGGAAUUUUUUUUUGCUUUUUUUUUUACUGCAGUGAAAUUGGUGAGAGUUUGUUUUGAUUUUGCCUUGAUUUCAAUGUUUUUGCCAAAUCCAUAUUGCAAUUGACCGUCUGCACGAUCUCUGGUGGCUGAAAUGUUGAAUGUGAAAGAAGGCUUCCAACAUGACUUGAAUGCAACAGCCAAUGUUGAGCUUUUAGGUCCAACUUUUGCCUUCAGCAAGAAGUUCUUAUUGGCUUGCCAGGACGCACCUAUUUGAAAAGUGGAGUCUGAGAUACUGUUUGCUGCUAUGCAUGUUUUUCUGUCAUGAAAGUUUUGCAGGUGGUUUUGAUGUAGGACUUGUGGUCAUGUUUCAUGAGCUACCACAAUGCUGGUAAUACAGGGCCUUCCCAGGUGUGUAUUUUGGCUAAUGAUGUUGUGGCUCACUUGUGAUCUUGGUACUGUUACAAAUUAGGUCUGCUACCUGAUGUUGCUUGGGACAGGUCUUGGUAAUUUGACUUGAUGCAGAUUGGUGUAGAACACUCGCAAGGUUGUCUCAAUGGUCAUGUUUUGCACUCAGGUAUGCAACUGGAUUUGCAGCCUUGUUAGCCAUUCAGUUCGAUGUGGCAUGGUUUAGAUUUUGGUUUGUCACCUACUGCAUUGUAAGAGUUUGAACUUGGUUGCUUUUAUGUUGGAUGCAAGCCAUGGUUUUUGCUUCAUCAUUUGACUAGCCUUUUGGUCAUGAGUUGGCAUUUUAUGCAGAGUUCACACAUGUUGGGUUCAGUGUGUAUGCUGAUGUUGCCAACUGGUUUUUUGCAGGUUUGAUUCUAGCUGCUACAGCCUUCAUGAGCAUUUCUCCUCAUUGUGAGUUCAAAGCCAAAUGCACGUGUAUUUUUAUGCCCAAAUGGUUAAUGUGGAUGUCAUGUGAUUGUGGUAUUUGAUUGAUGGUGAAAGCAGGACUAUGUCCAUCAAAGGAGAGUCAUGCUUGGCAAGGCAAAAGUGACCAAGUCAUGGCAUGGUAAGUGUGGUCUUGAAAAUGGGCCGUGUAACUUAAAAAUGAAGAAACCAAGCAAAGCAUAUCAAAUCAAGAUCUUUGGAUGAUGUGUCAAGGCCAAGUAGGUUAGAUUAGGUUUGAGAGUGUCAAAAAUGGGAAGGUUGACGUUGGUCAACGUUGACCAAAAAGUCAAUUAUUGACCAAAGUCAACAAAUGGUCAAAAUUCAUUUUUCUUUGUAUUUUCUUUGUAAAUGGACAUUGAAUUAAUGGUCAUGGGUAAUUUUAGAGUUUUUGGAUUUCGGGUGACUUUGGUCAAUGUUGACCAAAAAGUCAACUGUUGACCAAAGUCAACAAUUGGUCAAAAUUGUCAAGACUUGUACGUUUUUUAUGUAAAAUCAAAUGUGACGGUUUAGAAUGAUGUGAAAUGAAUUGAAAUGGUUUGAAAUUUAUUUUACAAUUGGUUUAUUUUAUGACUUGAAUGCUUGACUUUGAAAAGAACAUGACUUGACUGGUAGUAUGUGUUAACAAGGCCAUGAACUGAAGGCAUNCUACCUUUUUAGGAUACAUAGAGUUGGCAAUAAUUAUGCAGAUGUUAUCAACACAUGUGGGUAUCAGUGUGGAAUGCUGAUGUUCCCAUGUUUUUGCAAGAUUUGAUUCCUAGCUGCUACAGCACUUCAUAGACCAUCUAUCUCCUCAUGGUGAUUAAAAGCCAAAUGACAGAUAGUAUUUAAUAGCCCCAAGGUUACAGCUGAUCAUGUGAUAGGGUAUUAGAUGAUUGAUGAAGCAGGACUAUGUCCAUCAAAGGGAGUCAUGCUUGCGAAGCAAAGUGACCAAGUCAUGGCAUGGUAAGUGGGUCUUGAAAAGGGCCGUGUAACUAAAAUGAAGAAACCAAGCAAAGCACUAUCAAAUCAAGCUAUGGAUGAUGUGCAAGGCCAAGAAGGUAAGCAUUAGGUUGAGAGUGUCAAAAUGAAGGACAGUUCGAACCGUAUGACCACACAAGUCAAUAUAUUGACCAAAGCACAAAUGAUCAAAAUCUAUUUUCUUCUUGUAUUUUCUUUGUAAAAUGGACAUUGAAUUAAAUGGUCAUGGGUAAUUUAGAGUUUUGGAUUCUCGGGUGACUUGGGUCAAUGUUGACCAAAAAAGUCAACUGUUGACCAAAGUCAAACAAUUGGUCAAAAUUGUCAAGACUUGUACGUUUUUUAUGUAAACAAAUGUGACGGUUAGAAUGAUGUGAAAUGAAUGUGAAAUGGUUGAAAUUUUUUUACAAUUGGUUUAUUAUAUUAUGCUUGAUGACUUAUUGAAAAGAACAUGACUUACUGGUAAGUAUGUUUAUUAACAGAGCCCAUGAACUAAAGGCAUAAGAUUAGGGUUUUAAAUGUAAAUUCAUGAAUCAAUGCAGACACACUUCGCUGAGACACAAAGGAUUGGUUCUGGUAUAAGACCCAGACAAUAAGAUGUAUCCGCAAUCACAUGAACAACACCAUGACUUUGGACCAAGACCAAUCCUCAUAUAAGACCAAAGUAAGGUUAGGCCAAGCAUAAAAAAAUAAAAAAAUUCAGGACCAAAAUCGGGGUAUGACAAUGACUUCGCCAUGUCCUUUCUAUUAAUAGGGCGUGGACACUCUAGGCAUGUUCCCCUUGGCACCAAGACAACUGAAAUUCCUGAUAAUGGGAGUUGAUUACUUCACCAAAUGAAUAGAAGUUGAGGUUGUCGCCAAAAUAACAGUGGAGAGAGUGUGUUGUUUUUAUUGGCAAAAAUAUUAUAUGUAGAUACAGACUUCCUGGAGUCAUUGUCUCGGACAAUGGGACCCACCUUGCCAGUAUCAUGGUCACCGACUGCUGUAAAGAUUAGGGAGUACAAACAAAAUUUGUGUCAGUUGUACACCCUCGAGCCAACAGUCAACCUGAGUAAGCCAAUAAAGUGAUUCUGAAGGGACUUAAGAGGAAGCUUGGAAAUGCCAAGGGCUUGUUGGCAGAACCAUUCUACAUUCCACCCCAAAUGAAACCUCGUUUUCCAUUGUCUACGGAGCGGAAGCCAUGUUACUUGUGAAGAUCAACACGCCCUCGUGCGACGAGCCCAGUUCAGUGAAGAGGUGAAUUAGAUAGGAUUAAAGUGUGUGUUAGACCUGGUCGAAGAGUUAAGGGAAGUCGUCGACGUCGGAGAGUUUGCUCCUUAACACAGAGCCGCUAGAAGGUAUAACUCUAGAGUCAAGCCAAGAGAAAUGUAAUAGGGUUAUUUGAUCUUAAAAGAGGUGGUUCUACCCGCCCGAUUGAGAAAAUUACAACCUAAGUGGGAGGGACCGUAUCGUAUAUUUCAAAAACUAUCUCUUGGAGCAUAAAAGCUAUAGGAACUAGAAGGGCCGCUAAUACCCAGAACCUGGAAUGAUCUCCAUCUUAGAUAUUAUUAUAGUUAAAUUAUUUGUAAUUUUCUAAUAAACGUCAUGUCUAUGUACCCAUACACAACUCUUGAGUGAUGUAAUUCCCACAUAGGUGUUUUCUUAUGAUUAUUUUAUAUGAUGGACUUUAUGGUGAAGAUCAUUGUCGCUCCUUGAGGCAACAUUUUACGCGCUGGACUUCAUGGUGAAUGUAACACCCCCCAAACUACUACUACUCAAAUACAACAUACAAUUGUAUAAUCAGAGUAAAUUAAAGCAUGCAUACACUAGGGCAUCACAUUUACUUCUGCCAGAAACAACACAUGCCAUGGUCACAUACAAGUAACACGGAUUAUAAAUCAAAACCAAAUAAACAACAUGCAAACUCACACAGCGAAAUAAAAUCUCUCUUCAUAAAUGGUAAAUAGUGAUGAUUCCCAUAAAUCAUCUACCACAAAAUAUCGUUUUGGGCUCUAAGGCCACCAAACAUCAAAACCAACAUAUCAAAAUAACAAGAUAAAAGAGAGUAUAACAAUAUCUCUCAACAUCAAAACAAAUACAAAUAAUCCCAUAAACCCAAGUGUUACAUGACCAGAGCACUAUAGACUACCUAGUCAAAACACAACAAGAACUAGCCUCCGAAUCUAAUCCUUGUGCGAAGCACAACUAUCUCUGGUACCUGAAGAUGUCAGAUAAAACAUCAUUCUAACAGAAGGGUGAGAAUUCAAAUCAUUAUAGAAAAACAUAUGAUAUUAAAUUAUAACAAACAUACAUAUAUUAUUAGAAUUCAUGCGCGCAUCAUACAAACAUGCAUCAAUAUCAUCUUAUAAAAUAAUUACAUGUUUAUCAACAUACGACAUGGCUCAACAACCACAAGUAUUCAUUUAUAAAUACUAAACGAUGUACAAAAGUCAUAUUUCACAACAGGUAUUGUGAUUCUCAUGUACAUAUUAUCAUCCAUCAUCAUUUACAAAUCAUCAUCAAAUAUGUAUACAACUUUCACAUGAUUCCAUAAUGUAUACAAGUCACCAUUUCAUCACAUAUAUCACAAAUAUGCACACAUACCACAUCAUCAACACAUUAGCAAUUCAUAUCAAAUGUAUCACCUAAAAUCCAUGUAUAUGCAUAUCUACCAAAAUCAUAUCCACGCAAUCAUAUCACAUAAUCACACAAACCACAAUUCACACCGACACGUGCGACUCAAUGUGUAACUUAAUGUGAUAUGCAUGUGGAUCCCAUUCGUUAUCAUUUUUGGCUUUCCGAGCGUCUCUUAAAUAGACUAGAUAACCACCUCUAAAGCUCGAUUCGGCCUUAAGCUUUUAAACCCCAUUUGGAGUUAGGUUUGGGACAAGCAAAUAAUCUAUGCGAGAUUACCUAACAUUACCUCUUUCAUAGACUCAUGCUAGUGUAAGUGUGCAACAACAACAAGACUCAUGCAAUUAAGACGAUCGCAACCCCUUAAUCAUACAUAAGCAUACCACAUCCAACAUUUGCACAACAUACACCAAACAUGACUUCAAUCCCAAACAAUACAUCAAAUAGCAUUCAUCAUCUCAUCACAACACAUUAACAUAAAGCAAACAAGCCAAUUCAUGUUAUUCAUCAAAUUCACUAAUUCACAUCAUCACAUAUAUAAUUUCAAGUAUUAUGUUUCUUCACAAAAUCCAUCUAAAACCAUCUAAUACAUGUCAAACAAUAGAAAACAUGUCAUUCACAUUCACCGCACAUACAACAUGCAUCCACAUUAGGAUUAUUUUGGUAAAAUAUUAAUCUACUGUUAUCAAAAUGAAUAUCAUGUUAUAGAUAAUAUUCUUAGCUUUAUAACGGUCCAAACGGCACCUCAAACAGAGUUAUGGUUCAAAAGUUAUAGAAUUUACAAGUUUUUCAAAAUGUUGUGAAAACCCAAAAAUUUGUUGUUGCGAAAAUGCUGUCAAAAACCAGGAAAACUGCUGUUGCGAAAAUGCUAUUGUCCAGCAUGAAUUUUCAUCAUAAAACCAUAUUAAUCCAUCCUUUUUUAUGAAAUAAAUAGUUAUACAAGCUAUAUAUAUCAUAUAGCAACUAUUAGGAUCAUAGAAACAAGAUUCUAAGUUCCACUAAUUUUCACCAAAAUCCCAAAUCAACCAUUUUCAAGUGAAACUCAAACAUACAAUUAUACACCAAAUCAUGUUCUAUACACAUACUCAUUCAUGGAAUUCAAUAUAGAAACAUCAUAGCAUAACAUAAACAUCAAUUUCGUGGAUUAAAACAUAAACACAUGUUAGGGUUUCUCAAAAAUCAAAAUCCCCAAAUCUUAAGUUCAUGAUAUCUAACCCACAUAUAUUACAUACAUUAUGUUUACCCAUAAUCACUUGAAAUCCCACCCUUACCUUAGUAUAGAUGAAAUCUCUAGGUCCUUCUUCUUCUAGUUUCCUCUUCUCCUCUUUUUCUUCUCUUCUCUUCUCUUCUCUCUUCUUCUCUUGUUUUACAAAACUAACUAUAAUCUUUAAAACUCUUACUAUCUUUUUAACUCAUAAUGGGCUUAACCCACUUAUCCAUCCAUUCUAAUUAAUUAGGCCCAUUACUAGACAAUUGUUAUUUCUACUCAUAAAAUUCAAUUAUUCAAAGAACACAUAUAUUCAAAUAAUUCAAAUAAUCACCAGAACACAUAUUUAAUUAAUUAUCACAUCAAAUAAUGAUUAAUUAAAAUAAACACCUAAUAAAUAAAUAUAGAAAUUAAAUCGGGGUAUUACAACUCUCCCUCACUUGAAAUAUUUUCGUCCUCGAAAAUUACCUCAAGCAAACAACUCGGGAUAUGAAUCCUUCAUCUGACUCUCAAGCUCCCACGUCACAUUUCCACCAGCCGGUCCUCCCCAAACGACUUUCACCAAAGCGAUCUCUUUACCACGAAGUUGUUUCACCUCUCUAUCUUCUAUCUGCAUAGGUAAUGUCUCUACAGUCAAAUUAUCUCUAACCUCAACAUCAUCUAAUUGGAUAACAUGCGAAGGAUCCGCAAUGUAUCUCCUCAACUGAGACACAUGAAACACAUCAUGGAGAUUAGCAAGUGACGGCGGCAACGUAAUCCGAUAGGCCACAUCACCUACUUUCUCGGAAAUCUGAUAUGGACCAAUAAAAUGCGGUGUCAACUUACGCGACUUCAAUGCUCUACCAACACCCGUUAUCGGAGUAACUCUUAAAAACACAUGAUCAUCUACCUCAAACUCAAGCGCUUUCCUUCUCUUGUCAUGGUAACUCUUCUGACGACUCUGAGAAACCUUCAUCUUCUCUCUCGUCAUUUUAAUCUUAUCAAUAGUCUAUUGAACUAUCUUAGGUCCAACCAUAGCACUCUCUCCAGAUUCAUACCAACACAAAGGCGUCCUACACCUUCUACCAUACAAAGCCUCAAACGGAGCCAUACCAAUACUUGAAUGAAAACUAUUGUUGUAUGUAAACUCAAUCAAAGGCAAAUAACUACCCCAAGCACUUUCAUGUUCCAAAACACAAGCUCUCAAAAGAUCCUCAAACGACUGAAUCGUCCUCUCAGUCUAACCAUCUGUCUGCGGAUGAUAAGCAGAAUUCAAACACAACUUUGUACCCAAAGCAUGUUGCAAACCUUCCCAAAAUCUCGAAGUAAACCUCGCAUCCCUAUAUGACAUAAUUCUAGAUGGAAUACCAUGCAAACUGACAAUUUUCUCAAUAUACAACUUUGCAAGCCUCUCCAUCGGAUAAUCCAUUCUAAUCGGAAUAAAGUGAGUAGAUUUCGUCAACUUGUCCACCAUAACCCAAAUAGCUUAACAAUUACUCAGAGUCCUAGGUAAACCAGAAACAAAAUCCAUAGAAAUACUAUCCCAUUUCCAUUCAGGAAUAGAUAACGAUUGUAACAAACCAGACGGCUUCUGAUGCUCAAUCUUCGAUUUCUGACAAAUCAAACACGAAUACACAAAUUCCGCAAUCUCUUUCUUCAUACCAGGCCACCAAAACAAUUUCCUCAAAUCUUGAUACAAAUACACAAAUUCCGCAAUCUCUUUCUUCAUACCAGGCCACCAAAACAAUUUCCUCAAAUCUUGAUACAUCUUAGUAGCACCAGGAUGAAUACUCAAACCACUACGAUGUCCUUCAUCAAGAAUCCUUUUUCUCAAAUUCGAAACAUCGGGAACAUAAACUCUAUCAUGACACCUCAUGAUACCAUUCUCAUCAAUCCGAAAAUCACCACCUUUACCUUGAUUGAUCAACGUCAAUCGAUCUACCAAAACCAAAUCAGAUUUCUGACCUUCUCGAAUCUCAUGCAAAAUUCCACUAGUAAGCUUCAAUAUACCAAGCUUCACUCCAAAACAAGUCUCUUCACAAACCAAACUCAUAUCUCAAAAUUGUUCAAGCAAAUCCAAUUCUCGCACCAUCAACAUCGACAUAUGUAAAGAUUUCCUACUCAAAGCGUCGACUACAACAUUCACUUUGCUAGGAUGGUAAUUCAAACCAAAACCAUAAUCCUUCAAGAAUUCUAACCAUCUCAUUUGCGUCAUAUUCAACUCUUUUUGAUCGAACAAAUACUUCAAACUCUUGUGAUCGCUAAACAUAUCAAAUCUUGACCCAAACAAAUAAUGUCUCCAAAUCUUCAAAACAAACACAACAGCUGCUAAUUCCAAAUCAUGAGUCAGAUAAUUCCUCUCAUGCACUUUGAGUUGCCUUGAAGCAUAAGCUACAACUUGUUGAUUCUGCAUUAACACACCUCUUAAACCAAUCAAAGAAGCAUCACAAUACACAACAAAUGGUUUUGAUGGAUUCAGUAAAAUCAAAACAGGAGCAGUAGUCAAUCUCCUCUUCAUCUCUUGAAAACUAGCUUCACACUGUGCAUUCCAAAUGAAAGCUUGACCUUUCCUAGUCAACUACAUUAACGGCAAAGAUAACUUAGAAAAGCCUUCAAUAAACUUUCGAUAAAAACUUUCCAAACCAAGAAAACUACGAAUCUUAGACACAAAUUUCGACGCUUCCCAUUGAGAUAUAUUCUCAAUCUUAGAAGUAUCAACCAAAAUACCACCACUAGAGAUCACAUGGCCAAGGAAACUCACUUCCUUCAACCAAAACCCGCACUUCAAAACUUUAGCAAACAACUUCUUCUCUUUUAAUACAUAUAAAACAAUCCUCAAAUGCUCAGCAUGAUCCUCUUCACUCUUCGAAUAGAUCAAAAUAUCAUCGAUAAACAUAACAACAAACUUAUCGAGAUAUUUAUGAAAAAUCUUAUUCAUGUACUCCAUAAAUACACCAGGUGCAUUCGUCACACCAAAAGGCAUCAUCGAAUACUCAUAGUGUCCAUACCUUGUUUGAAAAGCAGUCGUCUAAAUAUCUUCAGCUUUCACACGGAUCUGAUGAUACCCAGAUCUCAAAUCAAUCUUGCUAAACACACAAGCACCAACCAAUUGAUCCAUCAAAUCAUCAAUCCUCGGAAGCGAAUACUUAUUCUUGAUAGUAACCUUAUUCAGUUGUCUGUAAUCCACACACAACCUCAUAGUACCUUCUUUCUUCUUAACUAACAAGACAAAUGCACCCCACGGUGACACAGUCGGACGAAUAAACCUCUUAUCAAGAAAAUCCUCUAGUUGACUCUUCAACUCUUUCAACUCAGAUGGUGACAUCCGAUACGGAGCCAUUGAUAUCGGACUAGUACCCGGAAUCAAAUCAAUCGUGAACUCAACUUCAUGUUCAGGCGGCAAAUCGCUAACCUCAUCAGGAAACACUUCAGGAAAAUCACGAACAACUGGAACUUCACCCAUUGUUCCAUUUUCACUAAGCUUCAAACUUGCCACCAACAUAAACACUUCAGCACCAUCGCGCACAGAUUCAUUCACUUGUUGAGUAUACAAGAAUAAAUCACCUUCCUUCUCU
rnacentral:lncRNA from 1 species